rnacentral:lncRNA from 1 species
GGCCUCGGUUUAGGUCAAGAGAUCGUGCUUGAGAGGGGAAAUUUGAGGUGUUUUCUGUUAAUCUUAAUAUUUCCUUCCCGGAGUGAAGAAAAUGUCUUGCUGCGGUGGGAACUGCGGGUGUGGAGCUGGCUGCAAGUGCGGCAGCGCCUGUGGAGGGUAAGUGGAGGGGGGAGGAACUCAGGAAUUUUUUAAAUGAGUUUUUAUGUUAUAAUUCUUUCUCACUUUCUCCCGUAUGUCUUUUUUCUUCUCUCUCUUUUUUUUAAAAAAAAUAUGAUGUCUUGUGGUUGCUGAGCUAUUAUUUUAGUUUUGUUGUGAGAUAACUUACUCUGAGAUGAUUCUCGACUUUUGGUAUUUUGAUGUGUUAUUCCCUCUUUGUUUCUUUGGUUUCUGAGGAAUUAUAGAGUUUCUGUACUGUAGAAGGUGGCUUUCUAUUGUCCUUUUGGUAACCUUAAUUUGUUCUGAUCCUGUGGGGGGUUCUUCCAAGAGUUUCCAAAAGCUAUAGUUCUCUUCCUAAAAAUUGUUAUGUGUGCAAGCAUGCUCUUAACUGUUUCCCUUCUAAACUCAUCUCAUAUUCUCUUUCUUUUGUUUUGUUUUCUGAUUGAUCAUUGAGGGCAGAUGCAAGAUGUACCCUGACAUGGCUGAACAGGAGAGCACCACGACUCAAACCAUGAUCAUGGGGGUUGCACCUCAGAAGGGGUAUGUCUUUCCUACUCUACCGAUCUACCCCUCUUCUUUUCCUUCCCUUUUGAUGUUAUCUUUUUUGAUGAAAUGAGAUUGUUUUUGCUUGCAGGCACCUUGAAGGGGUCGAGAUGGCGACCGGAUCCGAGAACGGUUGUAAGUGUGGAUCCAACUGCACCUGCGAUCCCUGCAACUGUAAAUGAGACACAAAGACCACAGAGAGAGAGGGAGGGAAUGAGUCCUGCUGCUGUAGUUUCUAGUAUCUGGGUGGUGUCCGUAGUUUGCGUCGGUGCUUAGAACCAGGGUGUUCGUGCUAAAAAUAAGCGGCCAUGGCUCUGCCUGACCCUCCUUUGGGUGGAUUGGUUGGUGCCAUGGCCGAGAACGAGUUUACCUCUCUCUUCCUCUCUCGUCUGUUUGUGUGGUUGUGGGUGUGUGUCCUGCUUCUAUCUCCCAUGUCGCGUUGCUUUACUAUGUUAAAAAAGAAGAAGAGAGCCCUUGUGCUCUGUGGUUAACGUAGCAGUGCGAGUUUGUCUUCUUUCUUUCUCUUUUGCUUGAUAUCAACGCCGUCUCUAUCGAUGUGGCCCGGCUUGUCUCCAAGUCCUUGUUCCCACGUAAUUGAUGGUGCGAAGAAGUCCCCAUCUGGGGCAGGUUUUUUGUUUAUGACGACAGCGAUGGAUGGGCGGCUCACAGCCGAGCACGAAAGUUGCCCGCUUAAAAGUCUCCAUGUCCGUGCAGUGCGGGACACGUCUAGAUUUCUCUCGGAUUUGUUUCCGUAUUUAAAUUAGCCAUGGAUUAAGGUUAGUGACAUUUCUAAUCUUAGUGUCAACCAAAGAUUCGUUGAUCUCCAGAAGAUUUAAUUUGUGUCUCCCCUCGUAGAAGAUUCAUUGAAGCUAGCCGUGUAAUCAAAAAAAAAUCUUAGAGCGCGUAAACAGUCAUUUGUCACACUCGAACAGAAAGUUUGAAAACGGCGGCCAUGGGGCAGCAUGCGUAAACGACACGGACAUCUCUCUGCCUGCUGGCUUGACUGGAUAGGAUGGGCCUUUGUUAUAGGAAGGUGCCUCGGUUGGUAAUAUCAGACCACCAAAUUAACUAUGAGAGUGACCAUAACAAUUCACAACUAGUUCCUUCAAGCGGCUAAUCUACUUGCAAUCUAAUUCGAGUUUUCGAGCACUGUUCUUCAUGCCAAGGCUCUUGCUGUCUUUACUGAAGUCGAGCAUAUCAAAAAUUCUGUUUUUCUUCACUUCGUGGACAAAGAUCAUCUCUUGGCAUGCCCGGCAGCGAUAGCUCGCUCCUCUCUUGAGUUUGAAGAACUAAAAUUUAAUAUAGCAUGUUGCAGUGACUCGUUUUAUGGGACCUGGACCAGUUCAUUUCUUUUGACUGCUGGUACUGGAAUAUGCAGGGAAUUUGGCAUGGAAGGAAUAUCAACUCCAAUAACUCAUCUUACAGCAGUUCGACUUGGAUAAAUCCAACCUAUUACCAAUUUAAUUUUGGCGCAGAUUUAACAUUCGAGCUGCCUCUGUAGUUGGGAAUCAUAUGUGGAUUUGAACAUAUGAAAUAAAAGUCACUGGUCUUAGUAAAUGAACCUGAAAAUGAUCUGGUAACAAGCACCCAACUAGAUCUGAACAUAAUAAUAGCCGUGUCCGUCCGAUCCGCACGCAUAUAUUAGUGCUUACCAUUUCAUGGUGUUUUGCAUGUCUCCAUUAACCAGAAUUUUGGUAAUCAGGCUCUUCUUCCAUGAUUGUAGAUUAGAAGCAUUUGAAAGACGAACGGAAAGUAGCAUCACGUCGGCGAUGGUCCCACGUUGUUGGUUGUCGCGGCGUUACCCUAAUUCCUGCUUCAUGCCCUGAAGGCGGAGUGCAGGUCCAGCAAAAUCUAAACUAGAUUGAAGUAUCUAAUAAAAGAGUUGCUGGGACAUGUAUGAUAUGGCCUCUAAGAAGACUAAGCCCCCGCAUGGUAUUCAAAAGCAACUUUAGGCAAGAGAAGGAUUGCCACGACAUCAAAUACUAGGUUAAAUUUUAAAGCUUCUCAUGAUUUGAAUUAAUAUAUCACCUCAGCUUACACUCACCUUGGAUUCAAUCAAACAGAUGUUAGCAUUUUUAUACUCACUUUGGAUGACUGAAAGUUAAAUUCAGCACUGAAACUGAUUGUUUGUUGCCGGCUGAGGCCCCUCUGAAUUAGUUGAGGCUUUGAUGACUCAAGGUGAAUGUUAAGGAAAGGAGACCAAGGGGAAGUGGGGGCGGCCCUCGGCCCAAUCAUCCAAUUCGUCUCCAUCAUCACUUUCGUAAUCGAGGUUGUUGAUCAACUUGGCAGCAGUAGCUAAGGCACCUAUGGUGAUAGCAUUGGCAAUAACCUGGUCUCUACCAUGACCGUGAGCAGCCGAUAUAAGUGCCCCAGUAAUUGCACCGCCGAGCAUUGCAUUCUUCUACAGCAGCAAAAACAAAUGAAUGAGGCAAUUCAGCCUGCAUGUCCUGCACUUCACUAAGUUACAUGCCAACAUUGAAUCACUAACUUACAUGCCAUCCUGUAACACAUGUAACUAAAUGGAACAUUAAACUCGCUGUGACCAGAACAAAGCAAUCACCAAAGCUAGAGGUCCCAUUACCUUGUCUUCCAUAUUGCCAUUUAUAAUAGCCACUAUUGUUACUUUCACUAGACACAUGAAGUAAAUGAUGACAACAUAUUCAGACAACAAUCCGUUGCUACAUACCACCAAAACAUAAAACUAGAGAACAAACCCUAUUUCUUGCAACUAAAUAUAACAUCUUUAACCAAGAAUCCCAUUUAGAAACUUUUUCUCAUGCAAAAGCCAACUAUUACUAUUGUAACGCUUAAUGUACAGCUCAGUCUUCCAUCAUUUUAGAGGAAAAUAUUGUUCACUUACUUGAAAGUAAUAAUGCAAUAUGCUGGAUUUGUUGCUUAUUCAAUUUAAUAUUAAUAUUAAAAAAUAAUCUUUGUGCAGAAUUUCUGAACACACUACUCCGUAAAUUCUUCUGAAUUAUUCUUUCCCUAAAUUCAGAUCCUGAGUCUUGGCCGACUUGGGUUUGGCCUAUAUGAAAAGGUUAAAUAAUCAAGAAUUAAUUAGAAUUAUGAUGAUAGCAAAGUGCAAAUGAACUGGCCGGAUAACGACCCUAUAGCAUAAAGCACAAUUAAAUGAAGUCAGGAAUUGAAAAAUCACCAUAAAACUUUUGAUUAGUGGAAGAGAUAUCUUUAUACCUUAACAAACUGUUAAAUUAGGUCAUAAGAGAGAGCAGGGAUACGAGACUGUAAAACAACAGUUGAGCCAUUUGCCGCUUGACCAACAAGUGGUUAAUAUAAUUAUUUGUCAGGACAAAGCUUCCAAUCUGUCUUGAACUAGUUGAAGAUAGAAUUGAACAGUAAAACCAAAGAAAAAUAAUACACCAAAACUGGGAAAAGAGGAAUUUACCCAGUCCCUAGUACCGCGGAUCCUUUCCAUUCCAUAUUCCAUUCCAACAUACGCUCCAGCUGUAGUUCCUGUAAAAAGCAUAACACAAACAACAGUGAACAGUAAACAUCGUGUCAGGUGUAAAACAAUGAAGACAGAAAAUGUUACAAUGCUUCUCCAAUUGUCAAACAACAUAUCAAAAACUAUGUCAAGCUUACCCCAAUAUGCACCUCCUCUGCACACCUUCCUUAACUGCAGUCAUAGAACAGUGUCAGCAUAAGAACAUGCCACUUUUUAUGAACAUUUUUCCUGUAUUUUGUGAAUAAAAAUAAAAAUAAUAUAAUUCAAUUCCCUGGAUGAAUCCAUAAGGGAACUCCAAAAGUGCAGAAUUUCCAAACAAAACUCUUAACUUUGAGGGUUACUGUGAAUUUAACAGAAACAUCAGCAAACCUCUGCUGAGUUUAGCAAUUGGAUUAACUUGAUUAAGACAAGAUGCAACUAUCUCAACCAGUUGUGUUUUACAAUUCCUGAUUUAGGAGUGUGGUCAAAGAUGCAGAGGCCCAUCUGAAUUAGUAUGGUAUCAGUAUCAAUAAUCCCGAGCAUAUGUAAUUGAUCACCAAUCAACACUUGGUCAUCCAGCUCUUAGUAAAAAUAACACCAAUUCGACAUGUUUCCAUGCUAAACUAGACAAUGAAGACAGGUAAUGUCAAAUGCAAGUCCACAUGCAAAAUGCAUCAUGACAAUAAGAGUGGGUGCACUCAAAAAGUAGAAUAAAAUAAAAUAAGUGAUCAUCUUUAUCGAACUCAGAGCCUCUCCCCAGUUGAGUUUAUAGGAGAGGUGCCAACAGGUGGGCCAAGGUCCCACUUGCAAGCUUAAAGUUGUUUUUCUAAUUAUUCUGGUAACUGCUAUCCUUCUGGAUGAAGCGACUAUUCCAUAGUUAUCUUCUCAAUUAUGCAUGAAGAAGAAUUUAUUCAUUUAUCUCAAAGAAAUCAGUGAAUCAGAAGAAAAAAGCAUAUUACUUGGGCCAUAACCUUCUAUAUAACAUAUGGUCUUCAAAACAUCAGGUUUACGUAACUUAAUCCUCCAUUCUGUCCUCAUUUUAGCUAACUGAGGGUGGCUACACAAGGGGACAAACAUGUCUUAAACAAACAAGGGCUCUAGCCAUACAUAUCCUCAUGAAGCAUUGAUUGGAAAUAUUGGUGGGCGAUGCUCAUGUCUUUUAUUAUAGAAAUCUCAGCAGCCACAUGCAAAUCACAGUCUGCAAACUUAUUUGAGAAAACAUGUCAAUGCAGCAAAAUCAAAUUAUGAGAAGAAACUGUCUUUGAAAGAAGAAGACAUCAGAUCUAUCACUUGUUUUUUGUAUGUGAUUCCUAUUUAGCAAUAUUCUGUGCUUUGAUGCCAUGCAUUUACUAAGCUUAAUUUAGAGAUUGAAGCAAUAAAUUGCACUCUCAUGCUAUUUCCAGGUCCUAAUGAAUUGCUCUUAAAACAUUGACCAUGUCUGUGCCAUUAAAAAGCCAUGUGAUACACAAAAUAACAAGCAGGAAAUACAUUAAGGUUAUACUAAAGUUUGAUGGGACUAUAUAAAUUAAGAAAGCAAGGAACACUUACUGCAUCAUCAAGUUUCUCCACCGAAAAUUUUCCUACAAGAAAUAAUAACAUGAGUUAAAUUUUAUGCAAGUAAUAAACAAGUUGGGCUUACCUUGUAAGAUUGAAUCUAAACAGACAGCUGCAUUUUGAAGAGAUUAUAUCUCAUGGUCAACAACAAAGGGUAACCUUAUUCUUACUUAAGCACGUAGAAAUGCUCAAACAAAAAGCACAUGGUACAUAAGAAGACAACAAGAAAUAGGACUUUGAGAUUGAGUAGUCAUCAUCAUGCAUUCUAGAGAUGCAAGGACAAGAUUGAAUAGAAUAAAACAAAAUCACCAAACAGAGGAGAGGAAAAGAAUCAAGAGAUGCAGAGGACAUAAAGAUGAUAAAACACUGCUGGGGAAAACAUCAACCAGACCACAACGCCAUUUAUAACAUUAUAAAAAUCCUAGACCUUGUCCAUGAUUUGCUCCUUCUAGGAUUCUAUUUUUGCAUUCUCUCCAAACUUCCAAUAAAUAGUCAGUAGGAAGCAUUGACAAUUUCUACUAUCACCGAGCUAUGCCAUACCAUACCGAACUAGAUAGUACGGAACAUACCAUACCGCACUGGUUUUGUACCAAUACACGAUACGGGAAUGUACCGACACUCGGUACACCGAACCGGCUCUAUACCGGGUGGACCGAUACAAUGACAGGGUAGCACCGAUACAGGACCUGGUAUCGAAAUGGCGUAUCUUGAUUAUCGCCAUUAUUUAAACGAACAAUUUAAUGCAACAAGUUUCACCUGCAGAAUAUCUAUGACCAAAAUGAGAGGUCAAGCAUGGGCAUUACUUAGAACCAAAUUUAUCUUGUAAUAGUUAAGAAAAAGAUGAGAUUGUUUCAAUCUCUUUCACACGAUAACAACAUAUGCAUAUAAUAUCAUUUCUUUCUUAAUUAGAUUGUCCCAACUCAGAAUCAUCUCCAACAUGGCCAACCAAGAAAAAAUUUCACGUCUUGAGAAGCAACCAAUGCCAUUAGAACUAAGAAGUAAUGCCACUACGAAGAUCUAAUUUGAAGUAGGUCCAACACUAUGACCACCAAUGCCAUAUCUGCUAUUUGAAAGAUAGCAACCAACCAUCAUGGAGACAGGCCAUACUGGCAAUGAUUAUUAAAAGUACCAUCUCUUUUGACUAUUUUGUGCUGUGUACACGUACACAAAAGCACAAACUUAUCAAUGUUUUGUGCACAUAAGGCAACUCACUUUUAUAUGAAACAAAAUUUCCUUAAGACAUGCUAAGCACUACUAAUUCUAACUCAGUCAACUCAGUUGAUUGGAAACAAAGAAAGAACUGCACAUAACAGUUGUUUCAAGUGGCUUGGUUAGUGUUUUUCUCUCAAAAUUUCAAUCUUAUACUUAUUUUUUCCAAGAAAGACUUUAAGCUACUUGUCUCAGUACCAUCCCCAAUCUAUUCGACGUUUAGCAAGAAUGGCAACCGCGAAUUAUGGCGAUUUCAUGAGGAAAAGAAGAUACCAGGCCAUCUAAUGGUCCAGAAAAGGCAACGCCGGACAUCAAUUAUAAACCAACUUGCCAGUAACAUAAUUCGGAGCAAGUGCACGUAAAACGGGAAGGCGAAGGACCUUUCUUCAGACAGUCAUAGGUCUCCUCCACUGCAACCUUGGAAGCACCAACCUGCGAAGAACGAAAAACAAUUUUUUAUGUCUAUCAUAAAUCCGAAAUCCAAAAAAGGGUGUGGAAUGAGAGAGAGAAAGAGAGAGAAGAAAAACAAUUACAACUCCGAUCUUUAUGAAUCCUUCGAUGGUGCGAUUGAGGACCUCGAUAUUGGGAAAGGAGGGGAAUCCGGAGAAAAAAACGCUCAUCGGCAUCACGCUCUCUUCUGAUGGGAGACCUCUGGCCACAAGACCGAACCCUAAUACGCCGUGACCCGCCGAUCGCCUUCUUCCUUCAGCUGCUACUUAGGGGGAAUAGAGUAGAAAGCAAGGGAUAGGAAGGCAUCCGCCCGCAAGGCCACCCCGAUGUCGGCCCCGAAUGUCUACAAACCGCCGAGGGUAACCGGCCCUCCAUAGCGUGUUCCGGCGUACAUUCCCAUUUUACCCCUCAAUCGAACGAUCUUUGCCGGUUUGUAUUCGUCUGGGGAUGUGACAGGGGUGGCAUAUAUUCAUCCCGAACAAAAGCACCAAAGUGCGAUUGUCGAAAAGAAGAGAACAAAGUACAGGUUAAGAAAGCAUAGUAUGUGAAUCAUCUCACCGCCGUCGCCCGGCCGUCGCCCCGGACGUCCAACGGUCGAACGGCUCCGCUUCGUAACCAAUAUCCAUCCCAAAAGACAAGAAACAACGACUGGAAGCUUCCCCCCGUUCCCAGUUCUCAAAAACAUAGGAAGAGACGGACAAGAGCAGUGCUGAGAAACUAGUCAGCCAUAACAUAAUCUGUUGCUACUCUGUAUCAGGUCAGCUUCAUAUUUCCACCCCAUCGCUGCACCUCUCGCUCAAGUUUUGAAACUUAUUCACUUUCCCCACUUUAUUCGUCCUGGGUAAGAAACUCAUUAUGGACGUGUCUUCCAUCAAAACGUUUAACUAUGUUGGAAAGCGUUGCUGCUAGUAUCUAGACUAAGGUUGGUCUAAGUCUCAAGUGUGUUGAGGUUGGCUGGAAUCGAAAAAGUCUCAUUGUUUCGAUAGAGAAUCCUAAGUCAGAGACCGAGAGCAAGAACAGAAGAAAAAAAAAUAGCAUAGAGAAGUGUAAGAUUGCUUACCUGAUGGUCCCUUUGUCAUCUCUAUAAUAUAUAGAAUGAAAGCGAUGUUUGUUACCUGAUUUAUUGGAUAGUACCAUAACCACAAUGGCACCUUGGCCUGUACCGAGACCAUUUACCUCGGUCAGGGCCCAGAUCAAGACAGUCGGAUUAAUCUGGAAUUAGGGUGGAAUUAGGGUGACCAUUAUUCUCCCCAUCAUGAAGCCCAUGCUCUUGCAUGCAAAAAGCAAAACAGAUAAUUUUCGUUUAUUGUUAUCCAGGAAGGUCUUCCGUUUUUGAUCGUUCAAGGAAAAAACGAUCCAUUGAUGUAACUAUCACGAGAUAGUGUGGUCAACAGUCGUGCAGCAAUCUGAUCAUUAAAGUCAAUCAGGCAGUUACUAAUGUAAAUUUGUUUGCUAUACGAUUAUGCCAUCUCUUGCAGUAUACUCAAAACAGAUUUGCUGGUACCUCGUGAAAGCUGAACUUGAGGACUGGUUUCCUGUGACGGGCUUCCACAUUUAAUCGCCGACGCGAAAAGAGAGUGCGACGGUGAAGCAGUCAGCUUUCUUUUCACAAAACUUGUGCCCUGGAAACUUGAAGGCUUUGCAGACCAACAUUUUGAAACUGGAGAGAGAACACAUUGCCACAAUGAAAGGAUUACUACAUUAUUUGGCGAAUCAUAGAUACGUAAUUUGCUGGAACUUGGCAGACUUUUAAGCAGAUAACAAUCCGGAGGUACGUGACAUAUUUGGAGUGCUCACACUACAGCCCUGGGUGCCACAGGUUUAUAGUCUGGGUCAGUUAUCUUCCUUUUAGACAUUUCAGUUACCUGACCUGCUCGUGUUCUAAUGCAUGAUGCCAUUUUUUGCAGAGUAACAACUGCAUCAAGACCGAACACAAGGAGUGGCUAAAACGAUCUUACAAGAUGAGACAGGAAAACCCUGGUCAAUAAGAACAGAGAGGAUUUAGUAAGAUGAUUCGGAAGUCAGCAAGAGAUGCAAUUAAUUUACAAAUGCUUUCAUAAGGAAUCAAUAUAGUAUUGAAAAUUAAAUCAGCUCAUACCAAGUUGAGCCGUGGAAGGUGCAAGAUAAACGAAGAUCUAUGCUUUGGAGGUCUCGUUAAAUCAGCAAGCUUGGUAUGGUAACUUCAUACAUGCCAAUUCACAAUACCAAAUGGUCAAGUAUGACAGAAAAGAAAAUUAUACAUGACUAGUCCAAAGUCUUUUUUUGAUGGAAAACAUGACUACUCAAAGAAAGUCAUGCUCACAAAGAUUGACAACUCCUACAAUGUUCCAUGAUAAAAUUUUCGAAAAAAAUCUCCAACUGCCUCAUGCACGUAUCACGGCAUGAGACCUGAAAGCAGUUGCACUGAAGGAAACUCUAGAGGUACAAAGGGGGGAAAUGAAGAAAAAAAGUUCCUAUCAUAACUUCAUGUUUCUUUUAGAGAGAGAUUGGGUCAAGUUCUCUUUCAAACUUCAGACCUAAGAAUUGUAGACAUGCGUGAUGUCUCUUCCCACUUCCCCUCCCAUAUGUAACCUUCUGCUGUCAAAAGUUUAACAUAGGAGUCUAGCUGGUAUUGGUAACAGUCAGGCUUCAGAAAUCUUCAUAAAAUCCUGCUAAGAGACUUUAUUAGCAACUUCAGAUUCUGUCUUGUAGCUUCAUCACCCGUGAAGCCUGAGACGUCAGAACUUACACUCUGCGAAUUCAUGUAGAAAUUUAUUAUAUAAAUAAAAAUCUUAAUCUCAGAAAUAGGAAAUCAGAAAGAGGACAAAGGUCCCACCUCAAUAUUUUUCAGUGUAGAUAGAAGUGUGAAAGUAGACUGCCUGAUAAGUUCAGCAUUCUCAGGAGUUAAAAGGGCAGACUGCACCUUCCUGCAAGACCAUAAAAGUUAGUAGCUAGUAACAUGCACAACCACCAUGUUUAAUAUCAGUGAGAAGGGAACCAGUUUAUGUCACCCUACGUGGCGACCACAAUAAGAGAAAUAAUGGAGGAUGGGGUAGAGCGGCAGAUAUAAUCCAAUGCUCUCCCUGUAUCGCGCAGUCUUUCAUCCAAAUAGAGGGGAAAGUAGCACAAUACAAGCGGGCAGUCAUUGGACUUGAUCCAGUGCCCCCUAAUCUUCCAUCUAUUACCAUAUAGCGAUGGCCAGAUAUAGUGAUCCAAGAUUUUCCCCAAUGGAAAGAUCUAGUGCUGCAUAUCUACACCUUUGGCAAAUAGGAGUAAUUAUCUACUCAUAUUUGAAUCUUCAAUCCUUCAUUUCCAUCUAUAUUCACCUCUAAUUUUGAUAGAAAAAAAUAGGAGGAAAAUAUGCAGCAUAAUCCUUGACCUAAAAAAGUGAUAUACUGAAUAUUAAUCUUAAAAAGGAUAAAGAAAAAAAAACAAACAUAUUGAGAAGUCUGAGAGAAAGGAAACAGAAUGCAUAUUGGAGGAAAAAAAAAAUCUAAGCAUGAAUUGAGCACUCAAAAAGAAAAGUAGGGGCACAUGCAUUUAUUGCCAGUCAAACCUUCAAACUUCAAAGUAAAGUAAUUGUCUUCUGAACGAUUUGAAAUUUAACCCGUACGAAAUGCACGUAUAAUAAAAGUUGAGACCACUUUUACAACUGGUGCAAAUUGGGCAUUAAGAUUAUCUAUUUUUAAUGGAAAAACUGACAAGUUUGCAGAAUGCAAGAAGAAAAGUAAGCAUCACAAAAUUACAUGACACCAUCUUUUUCAUAUUACCUUUGCAACCUGCAUGGUUAGAUAUGUGAUUUUUCACAUGUUUAUCAUGAAUUAGAUUCCAGAGAGUGCAGACAAUCAGUUUUGUUCUAAUUAAACUGGAUGCUGACUGCAUUUUUUCUCACAAGGAUCGCUAGAAAUUACAACAUUUUGUUACUAGCAUAGAACAAGAAGACCAAAUUUCAACCAGAUUGAAAAUAGGAAAGGUACAUGAUAUACUCUGAAAUCCUUCCAGAUUUUCUUACUCAAGACAUGCAAAAUCUCCACAAGAACUGAAAUCUAUGACAUGGAAGACACAAUGGACUUUUGAAGAAGUAUCUAAUCCAACAGAUUAUACAAAGACAAUGCAAAAUAACUUGCAAGACCUAUUCUAAAUAUAAUGGUUUAGCUUUAUCUUAAGUGUGAUAUAUGUUUGCCAACCCCUCAUGAAUUGGUGCUCAUUUCAUGGGCCGCAUAACCGGGCAAAAGAAAAAUAUGUUUUCCAGGUUAAAUAAAUGCAACGAGGAAAGGAAACAUCCAAGAUUUGGAUUCCCCAUAAAUUAGCGAGAGUCUAGAAAAAAUAAAAUAAAAACCAAAAAAACAGAAAAAACAGAAAAAGCUUCGUCUUCCAUUAAUUUUUCACAAUAGUGAAGAAGGUUAUUGUGAGGGGAAUAUUACUUCUCUCUAUUAGCAUAAAAAUGGAGCCCCACUUUCACUAAGGCUUUGCCAGAGUGAUACAAUGACAAGAUGAUUAAAGUCAUGCCAACCCCAACAAUGGAGUUCAAAAAUACGUCAAAUUUCUGUUAGAAUGCAUGAUCAACCGCAUACUGAGAAUAUAAAUGGAUGGGCUGGAUUAGCAUAAGAUGAAUUAGAUAUUAUUUAAUGCAUCAGAUAUUAAAGUUUGAAUGAAAAUCCAAAAACAAUUCCUCAUAGGCUCAUAACGGUAUCUUUCAGUUCAGAAAUAGUAUAUUAAAGACUUUAAAGAGUCGAAUAAGAGUUUUUCUUUGUUCCCAAGAGAUUAUCAAAUGCUAGGCUGUUCCGUAAUUGUCACAAUGGUUUAUGCAGCUAACUAUAAGAAACUAGAGAACAGCAGGCCUUCAGUUACAUGUAAGUGUUAGUUGGACUAGAUCUCAGGCACAAAAAGAAAAAGGUAUGUAGCGACAAAGGUUCUAAGGAACUAUUUUAGCAAGAACUUGUUCUUGUCAACUUUUUUACUCACUCAGACAUCUAUGAAGAGGAUCUACUAAGAUGUACUUCUUUAUGUACUAUUUUGGAGUAUCCAAUGGACUCCAACCAAGGUUUCUCAAAAAAUGGAAGUCAAACCAACCAAAAGGUGCUCAGACUAGGGGCAGCAUCAAGAAGAAGGGUCUAUCAAAAGGCAUGACCAGCUAUAAAAUGCAAUCUUGAAUAGCAGUACAGAUUUCGACUAGUUUGUUCCAUCAAUUAUCUUCAAGAUAACUGCAUUAAUCAUAACCAAGAAUAAUGACUAAAAUCUGUGCACUUAACUAACAUUCAAGCGACAAUAAAUCUUAAUCAACCUUAAGCUUGUCACCACCAAACUUAAGCUAAUUCCUGGAAUCCGUAAUUACUUGACUGAAUUUAUGAACGAUAAAAGGAAAUCAGUUUUAGAAAAGCCUUGUAGGUUAUUACAUGCCUUAAAGGGCCAUAAACAAGUUUAUGCUUUGUUUAAAAACAUAAAAGGGAAAAAUCCAAUCUUGCCAAACCCCUUAAAGUUACCCAGAAAAUAUCUAAGCAAGCAUAUUAGUGCAACUUGAUACCAAUCCUAUGACAUCACCGCUCAAACAACAUGUGAAGAAUUCAAGUAUCAAUAGACUGGUAUAAACUUUAAAUAUAGUGAGUUGCUGAUUAAAAUCGAAAUGAAAAUAGCUAGUUUAGAAAAUUGAGGUUCAAUAAUUAUACCUCAAAUCCUCAGUUGCAUCAGCCAGGCUUUUGGUUAAACUCUCCACAUCCUUCAGCAAACCACUGUCACGAACCUCAGCAAGCAAUGGCUGUAUAUUUUCAGCCAGGGCUUCAAUCUGCACAUCACUAAAGCAAAAACCUACGCAUGUAAGCAUGCCUAGUUGUUUUUAAUUUGUAGCUACAUCCUUCAUGAUUCCUUAAAGACAAAACAGAACUAUAAAGUCAUGUUCAAGAGCAGCUGAUGACAAAAAUAUGAAAUAUGGAUGCAUUAAUAUAAUGAGAUUAUGCAUGAAAAAUGCUCCUUCACUGUCAAGUCUGCUUGUGAGGAAGCAAGAAAAGCUAUGGCAGAUUUUGCCUGAGUAGUAGAUGCGAGUAUGUUUGCAGCAUGGAAAAGUUUCAAACUUAAAGGUGUACUUUCAGGACCUAGUAUGAAAUUACGUGAAAAUAGCGCCACUUGAAUCUCAAAUGCUGAACUACAAAAUAUAACCAAUAGAUUCUGAAAGGCAGGUAGAACAAUGGAAAGGUUCUUGCAUGACCAACCAACCGAAAUGAACUCAAAACUACAUUUUCUGGCCAUAAAGACAAGUUAGCAAGAAAGAUUUAACAUACAGAAAAUGCAGUAUUGGUCCCAGAUAGGAUAUUAAGAUUAGAUCCUUAAUAAUAUUAUUAAAUCUAAUAUGCUGGACAAGUAGGUUUUUUUUUUAAAGGAAAAAAAGCUUGAGUUUCAAUAUCCUCAAAGCACACAGAAAACAAACUUAGUUUCCUCCAUGACCUACUCAUCCACACACAAAAGUGACUCUUCAUUUGGUCAUGAGAAUGAUUAACUAAGAUAUAUCAUUUAAGUUAUAAAGAUUUGAACUUCAAAAUCAACUAAAUUAGUUAAGACCUUGGAGAUUAAGGGAAAAGGAAAGAAAAAUUGACCAGAAGAUCAAAGAAGUUGAUGUUCUUUAGUCUGGCUCAUAUUUCUGAAAUAGUAUCAGGGUGUUUCAGGCCUUCAAUUGCAUACGUAUCAGAAGCAUCUUUUAAUCUAACAUACAAUCUAGUCCUGAAGGACAUUGGUGAUCCAUCCUAGAUGCAUUCGGUGGAAUUCUAGGACCCUGCUCACGAUUUAAAAACAUGUAAAAGCAUGCUCAAAGGGUUUAAAAAAAGUACUGAGUCAUUAGGUGAUUAUGGAGUUGAUUUUUGCUUUUACAAGAGGGCACUAAGAUCACAAAAGUAUAUGAUCCUCCAAGCUUUACUAUCCACAGACAUGUUGGUCCACAUGCACGAUCCUCGAAGCUUUCUUAGCCUCCAAACUCCAGCUAUCUGUGUGUCUAGGGGAUGCAAUGCUUGAAGGAAUAAUAUCUAUUACUUUAGAUCUAGCCUUUUCUCUUUCUUCCUUUCUUUUUCUCGGAGACAAGCCUACAACGCCUCCUUUGUCGAUUUUCUACAUGAUUUCAGAAGUUUUCUACACCCUUAUGUCACCGCCAUCCCAUGUACAUAUAGGACUAUGGUUAGGUUUUAGUGACCAGCCUUAUUUUGGCCACCAACCAUGGUCCUAGUCCAAACCCUUAGUCACGUGAUGUCAUGGCCUACCAGGACCAGGAUCAUGUCACACACAUUGGGGUAAAGCUAUUCGCACAAAACUUUUUGCAAAAUAAUUGAUCACUAAAUAUAUAAUUCUGAAAAACUAAAUUAUUUUUUUUCCAAAACCAUAAAUAAAUGAUUGGGGCCCAAGACUCCGGUGUUUGAACAUGCCUCCGUCUUAAUGUGGACACAAUGUCAUAUGAAGGUUCCUUUGUUUGAUAGCUAAAACCCUCACUCACAUCUAGUCCCAGUAAACUAGUAUACUCCCUACCAAAAAAAUAAGCCGACGUACCUUAGUCAACAAAUAGAUUUGACCCCAAAUUUAUUGUCCUCUAGAGUGCAGCAUGGUGUCUUAUUCUUCAAGUCAAGGAAUUAUUUGCAAACUGUGCAUCUGGUUCGCACCUUGGUCCUUGAUGGUGAUUGUCGACCAUGCAGCGAUCGCGCACUUGGGUAUCGAUACAAAAUUACCACUUUGGUGGAGAAUGAUAUCACCAUACAACUCGACAACUAUAAAGGUGUGAUGCCCAACUUCAGGUGAACAAUAUUUCAAAUAUUUAAGAAUAUACAGUCCUCCCCAUGAUAAACACUCCAACCACAUGGUUAACUCCCUUGGAGCAACGUGAACUCUUUUCUAGCUCUGAGACCGAUGUGUGAUGCAUACCUAAUAAUGUUUAGUGAUCAUGCAAAAUGUUCCAAAUUGCAUGCAAAUGACUUUUAAGGCAUAUCCUCUCUAACAAGCCCUUAGUGUAUGAUGACGCAGUCGUCAUGAAUGCACAAUCCUUUUAACUAUUCAUGAUCAAUACACGACAAGAGUUAUUGCAGGGUGAUCAUUAAAAGAACUACCACAUUGUUGACAUUACAUUGCAUAUGUGUUAGCAAGACUAGUGAUUAAUUUCAGUCUCUGUGAUGUAUUCCUCUAGAUGUUUUUGUCAUAGUUCAAUAUGCAAUGUAUAUUAAUACUGGGUUAGUGGGGCGUGCGAAAACUGAUGGAUGACAACAGAUAUACUCCUCCAGAAGCUCUUGUUAUAGCUCAAUAUCCAAUGUAUAUUGACACUGGGUUAGUGGAGUGUGCGAAAACAAAUCGAUGACAACAGAUUUUCAAUUAUCAGAAUGAUUGAAGAUGCAAUAGACUUUCAAAUAUUAGGUAAAAUGGAUAGAGAAUAUAUAUGUCUGCACCUCUGCAAGGAGGGGUUGUGCUUCUUCUACAACAGAUGCAACCUUUUCUGCCAAUCUGUAGCUUUUAGAAAUGCCGAUUUCUUCCAUUUCUCGUCCAAGACGGGUAAAUAUUCCAACCAAUUCAUCCAAGCUUACCCCCUGUUUUCCUCUUAUCCUCUCUUUAUCACAAACAAUAAGACCCUCUUUGGCACAAUCUGGAUCAAGGGGGCCUGCAGAUGGUGUAGGAAGUGGAUCUCGUGGUGUAAUAUCAAUCAAUGUCUCCAUAAGAAGGCCAGACUGAUUAACCUCAACCAAAGAAUUUUGAGGUAUAAUAAUUUUGUCAUCCUCAACCUGCCAAACAAAAGGUUAAGGGACUAAUUAUAAGUUAAUUUCAAAUUUAUGAUCAAUUACAUAAUGCAAUACGCAAACAUGCAAUUGCUUCAGAAACCCUUUUCCAUACAUGUCAUUUAUCAUUUAAAACAAAUGACAAGCUUUCCGAGUCUAAAGAUUUUCUAUAUGCAAUUUGUGAAUUUCACCUUAGAAUCCUAGAAAUAUAAACACUGCAUUCAGAAUUAAUGUUAUACAGAACCUUUUAAAUCUGAAAGAGCACCAACUGAAUCGUAACUUUAAAUCAUGUUACUUUACAGUCCUGGAAAAUAUCAAAAAAAGAAGAUGAACCUUAAAAGACUAAAACAUUUUUUCCAAUUCAGAAGAUGAAGAUCAAAACUUAAGAAUCAGGUGACUUGAUGCAUGCAGUGAAACUGGAUUUAUCAACCAUUCCAUUCUCCUUGAUUAUAAAAGAGCAGUCAACAAUUAAUAAAAAAAUAAAAUAAAUAGAUAUGCAAUGAGAUAUCGACAAUUUAAGGUUAACACUUUAUUAUUGCUUCCUAUUCAAGGACGAGUUCUUGACAUGGUAAACUGUAUUUGAAAAAUCUCCCAUUAUUUUCGUUCAAACAUUUUGUCAUCCCUUGACUCCUCAUGCCUCUUCCUAGGACCAUUCUAGCCUGCUCUUUUAUAGAAAUAGCCCCCAAAAGCCAACAGUAUUAAAUAUUUUUCUCAAGCUAAUGGCAUAACAAUCAAUCUUUCAUCUUUCGACCUAUGUAUCCAAAAUGCUAAUAACAAAAAAUGCAAGUCUUAUGAAUUUAUCAUGGUUCAACUUUAAACACAUCGAAGAAUUGUUGGCAAAUUCAAUAUCAGUGCUACAAAGAAAUGAUACAUCUGUAGAAACCAAAGAUUACCUCGAAGAUGAUUAGCUCAGGAUAGAUGAGAAGAAUAUACUAUUGAAUCAAAAGUAAGUUGAACGAGAGAAAAGAAUCCAGUUUAUAAAGCUCAUUGAAACCAAGAAUAAGUGAUCCACAAGGCACUACUAAGUAAUCAGAGUGAAAGCAGAUCCAAAUAUAUUCAUGUAAAUGAGAAGUUGAUAGAGCAAAGCACACACACCUCAACAGUUGCAUCAAUACUUUUCAAAGAUGAAUUAACUUGGACCACACUUCCGACGGUCACCCCUCGUAUCCUGACUGGUGUUCCCACGCAAAUUCCACAAGCUUGGGAGAAUUCAAACACCGCCUGAUAUUUCCUGAACCGUGACCUCAAAUUGAACCCCCUCAACCACACAAGUGCGAGGGCAAGAAGAGCUGCCCCAGAAACCAUAAACAGCCCGACUCCACCCUCCCAGAUGCUACUUCGACCAGACCCGAAAUCACUAAGUGGUUGCAAAGUUCGCUUCCAGAUGGUCCCCGGAACUUCGAGUACAAGUGCCAAUGGGUUCUUUCCCUUCGGAGAAGAUGAUGGAUUCUGACCCGCACUUGCAGAACUUGCCCUUGCUUGAUAAAGCUUCUUCUUCGAAGGUUUGGAGGGAAGACGAGGGAUAAAAUUCUGAGAAUUAUGAACAGGGCAAAUCGAAGGGAAGGUAAUUAAAGAUCUACAAGUGACGGGCUGAAUCCACGGACUGCCGGCCAUCUUUCCAGUACAGAAAUUUUCGCUCUGGAAAUCAGAAAGAGAUCGAGCGAUAUUUCAGCAGUGGAUUCAAAUUAGUCCACGGGAAAACACUAGAAAGCAGACAUGCGAUCGAGAUUUAAAUAAAGAGCGAAUGGACCAGAGAUACGAAAUUCGAGAAAAAGAACUAAUCAGACAGUAAGAUCAUACGACUAAACCCUAACAAGAGCUACGGCAUCAAAGAAAACAUGACAGGGCUAAACUUGGAGAAGCUGCAAUGCAAAUAUAAACCCUACAGUCCUCAAAACAUACAUAAUAGCGAAAAAAAUAAUUAAAACCCCUGGAGAGAACGGAAAACCUAGAAAUUCAGACAUCAAUCAUAUAAAGAAUUCUUGAAGAGGGAAAAGGAAAUGGUGGGAACCUGGAUAUGGGCUUUCUGAUCUGAACUUAGAUUGAAAAGAUAGGCGAUGGAAGGAGAUAGAAAAAAGGAAGUUCUUUUUUACAGCUCUUACGCCUCUCUUUGGCUCGUUUCUCCUUCCAUCUGCCCAAUGACGGCGCUGAUGGCCCGCUCUCCUUCAGGGAGGAACAACGCGCUAUUAGUAGCGAACUCAAGGGGUUAAGGCGUUAAGUACUGUUUUCCGGAAUAAUCGGAACCGGCUAACUCGCGUGCCUUUCGGUGGCCUUUCGGUGCCCAUGAGAUCACCAAGACACCAACAAAACUUUAGAUGCGAUGAUCUUUUAUCUUCCGAUCAUGUAUAUUUUAAUAAUUAAAAAUUCUCACAUAUUUAUGAGUAAUUUAUUUAACAUUUUAUAAAAACACAAAUUUAUUAUCCGUAUGAUGCCAAAACUAUCUUUUGAUAUAUUUUAUAAAAUAUAUUUAUUAAUCAUAUAAAUUAUUAAUUUUAUCAAAUAUAUUAAUUAUUGUUAUAGAAUUAUUAUUUUUUAUUUAGGCUUAUAAUAUAUUAUUAUUUUAAUAAAAAAUAUUUAUUUUAUUAAAAAGAAUGUAUAAUUAAUAUAUUAAAUAAUUUCAUAAUAUAAAUAUAACGUAUAAUAUUUUCUUUUUUUCUUUUUUUAUAUUUUUUAAUAUAUUUUAAAAUAAUAAUUGAUUAAUGAUAUGAUUAAUAGGUACAUUGAUAUAUAUAUAUUUUUUUUUUUACUUCAAGAACGGUUUUCUAUUACUAGAUUGGAUGACAAUUUAAGAAGUAGCGAUAAUUUAGAAUCAUUGCUAUAUAAGAUCAUUAUGGUAUAACCAAAUAUAAUGAUCUUAUCACCUCCAGCUACAUCACCUUUGAUCUUGUGAUGAUCAGCCCAUAUCAAAUACCCUCGUUGUUAUUUCACGAUGAAACUAACUUGAUGCACUCACCAUUCCAAUUGCAAUUUCAGUUUUUUCAGAAAAGAAACGGUACUUCUAUUAUUUUAAGGUUAGAUUUGCCGUAUUACUAGAAUUCUGCCCCGUGCCCUCAGAUCCUGGACGGUGUGUGUUUUGCAUUGAAAUGAGGUACAUGUUUAGAUGUAGUCCAUCCUCAAAAUGGAUAAGUACUUUUGUUGUAUUCUUAUACCAAGCAGAGCUGACAUGCCAAAGAUAGGUUGAGAGAUGGGCAAUAUUCAUCCUUUUUUUUAAAAAAAAGAGACAUUUUCCCUAUCCAAGCAUGCAUGAUCCUCUGCAGUAAAAAUUUGUACAAUUUUUUGCGGUACGAAAUAUGCAUUGAAGAGACUCCUGGUUCAAAAUUGGAGUACAGAAAUCACCCCCCAGCAAUGUUCUCUCUCUUCCCUUUUGGGGUUUGGAGUUCAUGAUGAUAUAAGAUCGGCAGACAUUAGAGCAUCUUUCAGAAAAUGUUGUAACCCUGCUAGUUCACUUGUUGAAGGACAGAGGGAAAAACGGAAGAAAAAAGAAAAACAGAUUGUGAGAUACAUAAAUAAGAGUGUUUUAUGGAAUUAUAUAAAUAUGACGAGGGAAGAAAGGACCUUGAUGACUAUAAAACAGUGAACGGUACUUUAGUUUAUUUAAUUUGUUAUCAUUUGCCACAGAUGUUAUGUUUGCGAUUUCAAUGAUGAGUCUGCGGGCUGAAGUAUGUCCUGUCUGGUCUUGGUCCGGUUUUUUAGCGUUCUAUGGUACUGUGUCAGUGUGUUACCUAUAUAAUUAUAAGCUCUUAUGUAUUUCUUGUAUCUCCUGUGCUUCGUUUAAUCAUUUUUGAGAUGGAAUUAUUAUUGUUGAAUUUUGUUCUCUGCAUAACUAAGUUUUAGAACUGCAACUGCUCUGAUUCUUGUUAUAACCAGCUACUGGGAGGAAUUACAGAGGGCGACCUUGUGAGUGACUUAGUACUGUAGCUUUAUCCGGCUAAGAGAUCAUUACAGGCAUUCAUUGGAUGGACGGGUAGAUAGGCAGAAGGAUUUCCGCCUAAAAUAUAACAUACAAUGGAUCUAAGCACCAUUAGACUGAUCCACAUUUCUACUGCCAUUGGAGAGUUUAUCCAACAACAAUAAAUGAUGCAGCUUGAGACAGACCUUUCCAUCCACAAUCAAAGGAAUGCCAUUGAAUUUACUUCAGCAGCCUGUGAUAAUAAAUCUUAAUUUCCACUUUCAGCAGUUGACUGAUUGGUGGCCGUAUUUUAUUAUUAAAAAGAAUGUCUGAAAAAAAGUGCACGAAAUUAGCAGCUUUAAACAAUAUCCUAUCAUUACCAUGCACUCACAGGGGAGAAAAAAAAGAAAAUUACAGCUAUUCAGCCCCCUUAAUUCUGUCAAUUCUGGCACAUACAGGACUUGCGGAUUUUAAUGUAGCAAAUCAAUGUUUAAAGGAACUAAAGAAUAAAUCAACUACCAUCAAAGAAACAAAUUUUGUCAAGGAAAAGUCAUUCAGAACUGAUUACAGUUGCAGUGAGACUUUAGAUAGGAUAUCUAAAGACUCUGCCACGACAAUCAUGUGGCGAGAGGAUGUUACCUCAAAUAAGGGCCAAGAUCCAUUGGAAAUCAACCAGCAGCAGCAAGUAUCAUUAACUUUAGGGCAGCGAUUGACGGGUAACAUGCAAAGAUGGUUUGCUUCCUCACACUGUUGUCACCACAACAUUGCACGCUUUAUUGGACCCAAAUAAAAGGCAACAUGAUUCGAAGCCAAGGCAAACAAUCGCCAAUGUUCAAUCAAAUAACAGAAAAUUGACAAAUUUCAAACAGAAAAUAAAUAAAUAAUGGAAUCCCUUGAUCAAUUUAUCACUUGGACUUCUUAAGUAUGACAGACGGGAUGACAGGCUUAAGAACCAGGAACAGACUUUCUGACACCAUCACAAUUGCCCAUCAUGGUCUCAUUGGGGCAAAGAUAAAUGCUCUUAAGCAGCAGAUCAAGGCUCCAAUAUAGUAGCAGACGUACCAGGACAGGCAUCGAAACUUUGUUCUCGUGUUCUCCACAUUUUGACUUAAUCAUCACUAAGAUGGCUGGCUUGUAUGACAAGGGACAUCAGGUGAUGCACAACAAAAUCAUGGUUGCAAUGUUGCUGCCAGCAGCACCAACAAAUAUAAGAUUCGCUCGGCUUUGUAUUGGUAAGGUGAGCUGGUCAAGAUGAAGCUGCAAAGCUGAAAGCUGUACAUGACAUCCAGGGUAGGUUACGUUCAAAUUUUAAAGUGAUGCAGCAUAUGGAUGUACAGGACCACCAGAUAAAAGACACGAAGCAAUGGUACCUGUUAUCUCUUGACCCAUUGGAAGCUCUUUCUUGCUUUUGCCUUUCCAGGCUUUUUCCUUUCAACAACACGUGGGUCCCUCGUCAAGUACCCAGCUGGAUUGAUGCACAGAUGCCAUGUCAGCAAUCAGCAAUUAAUAAAAAAAGAAAAGUUCAGAUUCUGAGUUAAAUUAUCGUUCUAACUCUACCAUUAGCUAAUUUAAAUCAGUCUCAGGGAAUGGGGUGAUCGAUAUCAAAAAAAAAAGGUUGUCUAUGACAUUUAUCAAGGAGACAAGUAGAAAGAGGGUAUCAGCAACCUUAAAAUGUUAAAGAAUCAAAGUGGAAAAGCUUGAUUAUCUAAAUAACAGGUACAAGAUAUUAUACAUGAAUGUUGCUUUUUCAAAUUUUACCUGCUUUGAGGUAUUGCCGAAGCCCUGGUUCCCAGUUUUGCAGGGCCCUGCUGAUUCCCAAGCGGAUAGCUCCGACCUGACCUGCAAUAUGAAGCUAAAUCAAAUGCAAGCUCAAAUAAGAGAAAGAACAAUAGUUUCUUCUCCAGACAAAUUACAACAGCAUGUGUUUCACAUGAUCUUGUAACUCCAUACAAAGAGCUUAUCAUGAAGCAAUGCAUCUGAUCAUGUUAUAAUGAUGCCUUACAGAAUCAGCAACCGGAAGCAAAAGAAUGCUACAUAACACAAACAAGGCAUGAAGUCUCAUUAAGCUUAACAGAAGGUUCAAGUCAUCCAAGCAGGUACAGGAGUGACUGCUAAUAAAGGCAUGUGAUGGCAUGCAAAACUGUAAGACAGAGUGCUUACCUGAGACACCACCGCCUUUCACAGUGCAAUUUACAUCCCAAAGACCCAAAGUGUUUGUCACAGUAAAUGGACGAAGAAGCUCAGCUCGAUGGUCGAGAAUUGGGAAGUAUGCAUCAAAGUGCUUGUCAUUGACGAUAAACUUCCCAUCACCAGGUUGAAUCCAUACACGAGCUACACUGCAUUUCCUUCUUCCAGUUCCAUAAGCCCUUCCUUUUUCAUCAACCUGUCUAACCCGUGCUUUUGCAAUUUCCUCUUGCUUCAUUCGCUCAAUUUCAGUUCUUGUAGAUGUUGCAUUCAUUCGCGCUAUGGCUUUGUCUUCUAUUUCAUGUAGAGGAGGCAACCCUUUGAUACCUCUGACAUCCUUUAGAAGAAUCAAGCUAUCAAUCAUAUCUUCUGUAAUUCCCGAUGCUGCAAUCAGAUCCCCAAAUGCCCGAUUUGGACCUGCAAUUAUAAUUAUGGAAUCCCAAGAAAGCAUUAGUUUGGAUCUCUGUGCAAUCAAAUCUACAAGUGAAUUAUGCAGGAUGCUUUGAAUCAAAAUCUCUUUUUGUUAAAAAAUAAAUAAAUACAUAUUUCUGAUACCAUGUCUGUGCUUUAAGAGUUCUUGAAGUCCAUGCCCCAUUUCUGACUCAAAAAAAGAAUUCAAGCGUUUGGCUACAAAGUUCAAGAGACAGCGAGCAGAAUUGAAAUUUGAAUUGCACCAUUGAAAUAAUAGAUAGGGCAAUCAACAACAAAUUAUAGUUUGGGCAAUCAACAACUGGAGAAUGGACUGAAUGAGGCACAAUGAACAAUUUGAAAGAAAAAAAAGGCAAACUCAGUUCAGGAACAAAUCAUUUCAGAAACAUGUUUGAACACCGCCUGCCAAAACACAGCUUCUAAAGAGAAAUAAUAAAGUUAAAGGAAGUUUCCAGCAUGAUGGUCAAAGAGUAAGGAAGAAUUAAAACUGCAUCAGUCAAAAGUAAACUGCAAGAAAAUUGUUUAAUUCCUUCUCCAAUGAGACAGGGAAUGGUUCAGUUAGAAAAGUAUGAUGCAGAACAAACAAAGGAGAAAGAAAACAAAAAAGAAAACAUGAAUGGUCAUUAAUUGUCAUGCGGUGGACAAAUAGGAAUUCACUUCCCAGUGUGAUGGCCUCUUAGGUGAAAAAAAAAAAUCAAAAUGCUUAAUUCUCCCUGGUAUUGCCCAAACACAAAUAAGUGAUAAAACCAUAUAAUGAAGCCCAUCAGUUAAGCUGCAGAAUUUCUAAGUGAAGCCUACAUGGCUUCCAUCUCAAGCCUCAUGUCCUCAAAGAAUAAGGGAUCCCUUAAAUUCUAGAUAACUUCCAGUGUGAGCUCCUAACUUUCGCAAUGCCUUAAGCUACUCUUAAAGAUGAUCACAAAAGCAUCUUGUCCCAUCUACCUCACAUUUGUAAAUGAUGGUUUUUCCUCUAGAAGGAAAAUCCGGGCAACUUUGGAUUGAAUCUCUCCUUAGAGGCAAUGCCAUAGCAUCCAUAAUUCCGCUAGUUGGUCUUAUCACUCUACUAGGCUAUAAGAUCUUCUGCAACUAACCAAUCCAAGAACCCUUCUUCAUUUGUCCACCUGGUCUGAGGAGCCAAGCUACACUAGAGAGCUAAACCCAAUUAGCUGUUCCUUUUCCACAAGUUGACAAACAAACUACAUAUGGUGGCUGUGUGUUGGAGUAAUACACUGUCAUGUAUUCCAAGACCUGAAGUAAUUCUCAAGUUCAAGAACUUGAGUAUUAGGUCAUGUGCUACAGCAUUUUAAGAUUAAGAUAAAAGAGUCUAGAGGAAGGCAACAAAGAAGCAGGAACAUGAUGAUAGAACAGAAGAUGAUGAUGAGAAUGGAAGACAACAACAAUCUCUACAACUUGUCUCAUGAUAUUUCAUAACUCUAAGUCAAAGCAAUCUCUUAAUGGAAAGGCUCCAUUGUGAAAUAUAUAGCCGUAAAUAGCAAAGGCAUAUCCUCUCAAUAAGAAUGUUGUAUCAAAUGUAUAAAUGAUUUCCUAACAUCGACCAAAUACAAAUCUCAUUCUGCAUCUAUCAUAGUUAGGUUCGGUAACAGUAUGAACUUGAUAUCACCCAUUCCAAAACCACCAUUUAUGGUUCCUAACCACACAUAAGUUCGAUGUCAUUCACCAUGACCCAGUUUCUUAGAGCAUCAAGUAAUAUGUUUCCCUCCUCUAUUUCUAGAGCCCUGACAGACCGAUCAUAAUACAGUUCAUGUCAUGCAAUUUCCACAUAGAACAGUCGCUAAUGAAUUCCAUAAGAAUUCCUUUUAAUAACAAACUUCUAAUCACACACAAACCAGAGAAAUAAUGAUCCAUAUCCACGAAAUUUCAGCAUAACACAGAAGGGGGAAGUUUAGAUUUCCCAACUUAAUCCAAAAGUAGCAAAAACUUAUAUCUUUGUUACCUUUCAGUGUAGCUAGGAGUUCUUGCUCUUUCUUCUCCAAUUGCUUCUGCUCCUCAAUGCGCUCCUUUUCCAAAUCCUCAAUCCCAACAUCCCCAAUCCCUUCAAACCCCAGCCCUUUUUCUCCUUCAGUGUCAAAUAAAUCCACCCGAUCUUCCUCUUCCCCCAAAGUCCACGACUUAUACCCUUCAGCCGUCUCCCAUUCAUCCUCUCCAGCCCCUCCCAUCUCCUCCUUCGAUGCAAACUCCCGAUCGAUCUCGCCAAAUAUAUCCCCUUUCUUCUCCAAAGUGGAAUCCUGGUACGACCAGGGAUCGCCGCCCUUCAAGCCGGCUCCGGCGGCCGCCUCCGAUCCGGCGGCAUCCUUGCCGCCCUCUGCAAUCCCGGCGAGGCUACCUUCUUCGUCGCCGAAUACGGAGUCCACCUCCUCCUUCUCCUGCGAGAACUUCCAGGUGCCGUCACCAUCGCCGCCGCCGCCGUCCCCGCGAUUGGUCGAGAAGGCUCUCAGGGAUUGGAGGAAGAAGCCUGGAUUCGGUUCGCCAAGAGGAAGACGGGGAGGAGGCGGAAGGCGAGGAGGGGGAUAAGAGGAGGAGGGUGAAAGGGGGUGGGAGGAAGAAACUAGGGUAAGGGUUAGGAGGCGGAGGUGGAGCGGCCGAGAAAUGAGGCGGGCGAGCAUCUUGGAAGGGAGAACGUCAUGGAGGCUCCUCCCGUUAGGGUUUUUGGGGUUUUACGUUCUCUCUGUAUCUUGGUUGCAAAUGGGCCCGAUGGAGGACUACCCACGCGCCCUUUCCUUUGAUUUGGGCCUUACUCGGCCCAUUAGCAACGCGACCCAACGACCACCGACGUGCAGCUCGACCUGGGCAACCUCAAAUUGGACCAAUAUUAGAAUCUUUUUUUUUCAUAGAAGUUUAGUCUUUUAUUUAUUUAUUUAUUUAUUUUUAAUAAACUUCGGAGUGCCCUAAGCAAAUCCUCUUUUCUAAUUCAUAAAGUGACUCCGGAGUGACUAGCUACAUAUGAAGCCACCUAAUCUACUGCACCGUUUGCUUUUCUGAGAACAUGCUUGGCCUAAAAGGCCAUGCCACCACAAAAUUUAGUCUCUUUACAUGAGAAAUUUAAUUGGAUUUAUUCUGAGGAUAGAAAAAUUAAGAAAUAUGGCUUUUUUGUAGUAUUAGGAUUAGGACCAGGAUUUGAACUUGUGUACCCUAGCUGAGUUAAACCUAAAAUGAUUGGUUUAAAGAAUGUAAACUGACACCUAGUUGGCUUGAUCCUUUGGGAACAAAUAUACAUAGUUGUGACAAGAACUAAAAAAAAAAUCAUGUGGAAGUCACAGCCCAAUGAUAAUUCGUGCAAAGUUAGUAAAAAUCAUGUGUUCCAAAAAGCAUUUAAAGUUCUCAUGAAUAAUUUGAAGAAUCAUUUAACCUUCAGACAUAAUUAAAGAGAAUUUUGCCACAAUUUGAAGUAUAUUGCCAUCAUCGUACAUUGAUAGCUGAUUUCUUUGUGGAGCAGAUGCAUGUAUGCCUGUACUCGAGCACCUGCACGGUGCAUGCUACCACCUUUAGUUACUUGAAGGCUACCCUCAGCAAAAUACUAAUAAGUGAUGCCUUUGCUUGAUAACAAAAGCAUAAUAAUAGUAAUUAAUACACAAUUUAGUCUAUGGAAUGGGCUGGCUCUGGGCCCUGAGAAUGCUCAAAAAGGAUGCGCCAACCACGUGCCCAGUGCUUGGUGGGCCAAAAGCAUAAAAAAAGGUCCGGAUUGUAUCUUUCCUGCGAGAGAAUAGUUUAUCUUCUUUCGCAACAUCAACAGUUAAAUUAUGCCUCACACAGAUCUCAAAAGACUCCGAGCUCUCUUUUUUGUCUAUCUGGGGCUAUUGCAUUAUCUAAUGGUGCACAUCUUAGAAAAAAAAGAAAAAAAAAGUGAAUGAUUCUUUUGCGCAAAAGAUACAACGAGAUGCCAGACUUGGACUCUCUUUACCUUUCCCUUUGCAAGUUGCCAGCCACCUUUUUCUUACCAAUAGUCAUCAUUUUAUCUUCAUCUCAAGGUCUAAGCACACCCUCUUUACUUGAUAAGCUUGGAUGACAUAUAAAAGAACAUAAAUAACUGAUAAUAUUUUAGUACAGCUGCUUGCAGAUGUAGCUGCUAUGGGUAUAUAUCAUAUAAAAGUUUUUGAAUAAUUUUUGCAGAAUUCAUUGUUAUAUGAAUGCAUGAAAAAAGAAAAUUUUUGAAUCAUCUGAGUACAAUUCAUGGAAUACGCGAAGGAAAUCUAAUGAACAAUCUGAUGACACUAGAAUUAUUUGGUGAUUAUGGUGACAUAGCAUCUAACAACACUGGGAGUUUUUCUCAUAGAUUUCAGUGAGAGAUUUCUUCAACAAAAACCACAAAGCAUUGCACUCUUGUGUGGAUGGAAUGCCUAAAGCAGUAAGCCCCAAGCAUUCUUAGUCAACUUUCUUGCAGGUUCAGCUAUAUAUUUCCUCGGCAGCAUUCAAAUUCUCUGAUCUACCAGUAUUCUAUAUCUUCCGACUCUGGGGCCUCACACCUCAUUAAGUGCCAGGAUUUCUUUAUGACCCCAAAGAGCCCUCCUCAGCUUAACUCGCGGCAUGGUAAUAAUCUAUGGCAUUCAGAAACUCUGACACCAUCCAUCCUUGGAUCUCGAGCAUUUCUGCAGUGCUAAGUUGGCUGGCAAGCGGCAACAGAUCCAUCACUCCAGCUUCAGAACAGAGCUCAUUAUUUCCCCAAGUCGGUCUCUGUGGAUAGGCAAUAGGAACCAAAACACGACUUUUGAGCUUAAAAAACAGGAGAUUAGCUGAGGGCUUAGGUAACAUGGUUCGAAAUUUUAUAAUCGAGGAGAUACAGUUGUUUUCUAAGCAUCAUUCAACAUAAUCCAGUUCACACUCUGUAAUGAAGACAUACCAUCUCACACUGAGUGAGAAAAAGAACAAAGAGAUGUAGAAGAAACAAUUAAGGAGAGAGUGGAGAGUAUAACAAUCCCGAAAUGCUCGGAUUCAGACAAAAUGGGGAAUAUCUCAGUGCGCCAUGGCGACGGGUGGCGAGAAAGAAAUGCUCCUCUGGCUUGGCAACGCGAGCAUAGCCGUGUGAUCCAGGAAAUCGCUGAGCUCCACAACGGACUCCAGAAUGGUUCUUAGAUCAUCUGUCCGAGGGAACCCGGCCAUGCCGAGCCGCCGCACUGCGUAAAGGUAGAAGGUGAGGCAUCCUUUCCUGAACUUGAACCUCGCCAUCUCGCACCCGGCGAGCCCCCGUAUGAGCUUCCGGUUCACCUCCCCUAACGGGAUCAGUGGUGGCCAGAGACGGUCCAUGGCCAACUUCAUGUCCUCGGUCUCGAAGACGAAGAGCAGGACCUUGGACUUCUUGGUGCCGAGUCCGAGCGUGAGGGUGUGCCAUGCAUGGUGUGCUAAGAUGGUGAAGUUGGUAGGCAAGUAGGUGAUGGUGGAAGGGAAAGGGAGGCCACGGCCAUGGCUCCGGCUCUGCUGGGAAUUGGAGAUGUCAAGAAGGCCUAGCAGCUCGAACGGGGCGGCGCGGCGGACGGUGAAGGAUCUGACGAUGAAUUGGCCACCGAAUCGGAUGCCUUUCACGUCGGAGCUCGGCUUGAAGUGAGGGUCCGUGGUGGAUUUGGAUUUGUUCUUGGUCUGCUGCUGUUGAUGGAGGUGCGUAUGCUUCUUCUGUUGCUUCUUCUUCUCCUUGUCUUCCAUGGAGCACUUGCUCCUCACUCUUUGGUGGGUGCAGCGGAAGCUUUUGUUGCCCCUUGAGGACUGGACCUAUUAAAUAUCAGUAGGGUGGCGUGGCCUCUUGGUGAUACACUGAAGAGUAGAGACACCAGGAAAGGUCUACUACUUCUAUAAACUAUAAACUAAUGGUAUUUCCUUAAUGUCUUCUUUUUGACAGCGUGUUUCUUUUCCUUUUCAGGAUGUUGGUGUUUCGACGUAGCAAUCAUGGCACGGCUUCCGUUACUAUUUCUUCACGGCGGAUGGGUGUUCCAUGGAACUGGAGCUGGCGUCGUAGAGCUGCGUGCGUGAAUCCGAUCCAAGUACAUGUGGAUUGGCCCAAAAUUCUCGCAAUCAGAGCCCCAUAAUCAUGGAAGCAUGCCAAGAAAGUUUCAGACUCCAAAGUGACGACUGCCCAAAUUCCUGGUCUUUGAUCUGAUCACUAUGAGCGAGCGAACUAAAUUCCUUGUAAUGAAAGCAUAAGGUAGGGACAUAUUAUUGCCUCUUUCCGGCAGUGAUUCGAGAUUUUAUAUCUAUAUGUCACAGCCCAGCUAACCUAUUCGGCUGGGAACAAGUAGCGGAAGGCCUAUCAGGGACCGAUCAACCACCGUUGUUUGCUAGCAAGUAGGUGUGACAUAAAGUUAGCUGCUCUUCAUCAGAAGAAAUGGGAUGCUUCCAUGACAAGAUUAAUGAAGCCCGAGUCUAUCCAACAAUGACCCAGCACCUGCUGAUGCCACUGCGCAGGUGUGCAAGAUGUACCCUCUUUCCUGUUUCUCCUUUUCAGCCGACAAACAGUAGAUUUGGAUCACUGAUCAGUUUGUAGAUUUCACUGAGUGGUGGUUCUGGAUACGAGAGAGUGCCCUUAGAUCCGUUCAUAAAUGUAGCAUCACCUUGCUGUCUCUCUCUUUGUGUGUGUGUGUGUGUGUGACAAUCUGUCUGCUAAUUAACAAGUGGAUAACGUUUGUUUCUGACAUUGGAAGAUGUAAACAUGCCACAGAGUUUGUUCUCGUACAAUUUAGCGAGAGAGAACGGCAGAAAUCUCGUGCAUGGCAUCUUUCCAUUGAAUAGGAAAGGCUUUAUUCAUUUCUGCCGACCGAUAAAAUGACGAAGUCAUGAGUCUGGAUUCUCACCGAUGCCAACCAAUGUCUCACGACAUUAUCUGUUAAGAAAUGAAUUCUGCUGGUCGGCCACCGACUUGUUCAAUAAAUGAAGGCACACUCGGUGAAAGAAUCGCUGUUGCCUUACCUUUGGGUGUCAAUCCAUGGAAGACAAGAUCAAGCUGUGGGGCAACCUCUCAUUCUCGCAUCCAGAUAUAUAGCCGAAUUCUGGUCUCUGAACCACCGAGCAUCUGUCGAGUUCCCUUAGUCAACUUGGGAAAAGAAGAUGGGAGACUUUCUUCCAUCAUUCAUUGAAGCCUGGAGAUGAUACUUGGGCAUAAGCAAGGUCAGGGUGCUUCUGGAUUAUGACCUGAGUGAAUGAUUGAAUAUUAAGCAUAAAAUUGCACACCAGUAGAAGAAAAAAACCAACUGGCACCCACACAAACCAACCCAAUAAAGAACAAGAAAAAAAGAGAAAGGAAGGAAGGCGCAACCAACCAACCAACCAACAACAGUAGAAAAGGCAUGAGCAAAGCUGACUGGUAAUAGAAACUUCAUGACACUGAAAAAUAAGAAGACUGAAAACAAGCAACGGGAUGUAACUAUCAAAUGUUAUUACACAUGAAUGACAUCUGUACACAGAUUAGGAUCAUGAUGGUGGUGAUUCGGCACGAUCAGCAGACAGCUGCUUUGUGGUGCCCUUGAUAAACUCUAAUGGCUUCCCCUGUGGACAUCAUCUGCAGUCUUGCAGUUGUACCAGAAGAAGCUGCAUAUAGCAAUCAACGGGAUGUAACCAUCAAAUGUUCGCAGAAUUGGAUUGCACAAUCAAAGAUACAAAACAAGAAUAGUUAUAUAUAUAUACUGUAUCUAGCACGUGUUCUCAGAUAAGCACCAUCCAUGGAGAACACACAAUCCAAGACCCACCGCUGCUGUCCUGAGGUGUUCAGAAUCCACGAGGGAUUAUUAGCAAACAUAGAGAUCUAGGCAAAAUAGUGAGAGAGUUGAGAACUAGCUUGCUGUCUAUCUGAUGAAGUUUUCUUACCUGUUAAAGCUCGUCCCAAGGUGAGACCAUCAGCAUUCCAUAUUUUAGCAGUAUGAUCAGAUGAUGCAGUGGCAAGAUACCUAGAAAUAGUUCCACUGAGAACUUGUAAGAUCCUAAAUAUGAAUACCGCAUUCACAAGGAUCUGAGUUUUAUGGAGAAAUUGCUCUGCGGAUAAUUUGUUCGAAUGAUACCUAUUAAGAUAAUGUAGCUAUCUUAAAUACUUUACCCUUACAAUGUCAUGAUGGAAGUUUAAACUCUGGAGGAUACAAUAAAGGAAUUAUUUAUUAUUAACUGCUAGAUCAGUCUGAGAUUACAUACCUCUGAGGAUCAAUAAAUUCUGGUGGAAGUAGGCAUUUCAAGAUGUAGCCAUCGUGUGCUUGUAGCUUAUGCAGCGGUUCGAAGUAUGUCAUUGUCUACAGCAGGUUGAAUGCCAGUUUGAGAAUCAGAAUGUUGCAGAUCACUAUGCAUAAACUGGGCACAGGAACUGAGAUAACUGUGUCACUUUGAGCAGGCGCCAGACAGCAUAUUCCAUGAUUAUUUGCAGCAACCACCAUGCUGUCAUCCACAUUACUGUUAGAGAACUCACAGCUGUAUCAAUCGCAGGCGCCUGCACUCAAGUGAAUCAUAGGUUUGACAGAAACCCUUUUAAGGGGAAGUCCCUUUGAAUAAGAUCAGUCAAUUCUCAGGAACACAUACAAAGACACUUAGCAAAUUUCAUCAUUUUACCAUAUUACGCAUGUACUUACCAACUCACAGCUGCAUGAAUUUGCUGUCAGAUCCCACACCCGUAUGUUUCCAUUUUGAUCAUCAGAUAUUAAGUCUCUCUGCAAAAUGACAAAGUGUACAUUGAGGAAUUCUUCAAGUUGACAGACAAAUUUGGUCCACUGCUUAGAAUCACUAUGACAGGAUAGAAACUGCCACAGUUUCAGAGAGGAGGCAUAUUGCCAGAUCAAAGUAUUAGGCCCAAGUAAAAAUACACGUGCAAGCGCAUGCACAUGAAAAGGAAGGUAUUAGGUCCAAGUAUAAGAUACUGAAUGAUAACCAAAGAUCCAUCAAUAGGAGGAUAUCAGAAGCAAAACAAUUCUUCUGGUCUUUCAUUUGUGAGCAUAAUUUCAGAAAAGUAAACUACUUUAAUAAUUAACAUUCAUUUCGCUUUGACAGGAUAAGAAACUGAAAUGGUCGCAGUUAGCAACUUGUUUUUGCGAGGAUCAAACACAGUCAUCUGCAAACUACUAACCAUCAAUACUCUAUUUCUAUUUCUAAGAAGCUCAUAUUAAUUGCAAAUAACAGAUGCAGAACUGGAUAUAGUUGUAUGAGUAUUAGGACUGUAAUAUUUAGUUCCCCUGGUCCUCUUUCUUUGGAGGACCAGGUUAAGGGUCACGUAGCACUAGCACUGCUCUCCUAAUUAUCAUCAAACGCAAGUGACAUGCUCCUUUAAGCAGUUUAGAGCAUCAGCAUGAAUGUCCUAAAACCCAGAUCUAGUCAGUCAGAGAUUGUUGUAGGAUUUUACUAUGCCCUCGAUCACCUCAUUCUCAUUCAUCAUCUCCUACAGUUCUCCUUGAUUAUUUUCUAACUCAAGUUAUUUGCUUCAGAUAUAAAUCCUCAACAGUGUACUUCAGUAUAUGCCUCUUUUAGGCCCCAUAAUUACUCUCUUACUUUGCUCUAUUUCAUCAAUAAUGCACUUGCAGCUCAAAUUUUUUCUCCCUUGCAUUGUCCGAUGACUUCUAUUUUGCUGUUCUAUGUAUGCUUGAGAUUUUGCAAUUCAUUUAAAAGAAAAAUUAAGGAACCCAUUUGUUCAAUUUCCAAUCCAUUCUAGAACAGUGGAAACCGACAUUUGGAAAUGUAUCAGAAAGGGUCUAGUUUUGAGUUUAGUGGCACGGACUUGAGAGGACUGGUAUACAGACUAUGAACCAAGUGAAUUGGAAAGGGCACUAUAAGCAGCACCAAGUUCAUGUUAACACCUCUUAUCAUGAAGUUGGGGGUGGAAAAAAACACCCAGAUUUUAUCUGUUUAGUUGUUGCUUACUGGACACAGCAGGAAGCAAAAUAGAGCUGGGGGAUGCUUCAACAGUUUAAAAAAAAAGCAACUUACAAUCUAUAUGGUCUAGAAAUUGGUAGAUUUGGAAGUAAACUGUGGGCACCAUUAGUUAAAUAUUUGAAAUAUUUGUCCAAUAAAAUGGAUAUCAAAAGGAUGUUUUAGUAGCAGAUUGCAUCAUGAUCACAUCAUUAAAAGAUCUGCAAGUAGCAUCUAAAGCUGAACCUGAUUUGGAUGUAGAACCACUGUGUUAACAGCUGCACGACUUUCAUAUUCUCAUUGACAAGUCGCAGUCCCGAAACAGGGAUGCAGAAAAUAAAGCAGGAAGCAAGAGAGGAUCGAAAUAACUAACAAAUUUACACAUAUAAAAUAUAACCUGCAUAGUAUUAGGGUACCAAUGUGCAAUACAUGGUCCUUUACAACUUCUUGUUCUUCAAUAAUAUCCUUCAAUUUUGUAUCUUUUAGCAUUCUACAUAAUUCGGAAAGCUUCUGUCAACAAUGAAUGAAGUCACAGCACCAAUACGAAAUGCCAAGUCGAUCUACUUUUGAUAAUCAGCAAGUCAGGGACCAGUUCAGCGUAUAAAACUUCUGCAGAUAACAAAUGCUAACUGGCAAUUCAAAAAUUGAAGAAGUUACCACAUCCACAGCAAGAUUCAAUGAAAACAAGCUGUUUCAGAUUCCUUAAAUCCCAUAUUUUUGCCGUGCCACCUUCGGAACCUGAAUACAUCCAAAUAUCCAAUUCCCAUCCCAUUGAAAUCCCACAGCCAUCACAUUAUUAGUAUGGGAAUCAUAGCUUAUAACCUGGCACCAAACAAUGCAAGCAGAGUAUUAGAAUAUAUAAAAUACCCAUAGCAAAGACUAUAACCCUUCCAAACAUAAAGACGUACUGGCUGAGGGCUGUUGGAGUUAACAUCAAAAAGGUGGAUGCGAGGAUUUCCAGCUGCAGCUAGGAAUCGCUCAUCGGGGUUAUCUCCAUCCUAUUAACUUGCUGCAGACAUCAUGCAUGAUAAAUCAGGUUAUAGUUGUAAAAGGAUUUAAGAUCAUUGAAUUUCCUAAGUUAUGUCAUGAAAUAUGUGUGUUUGUAAAGCAUGGGUCAUAUUAGAGCCCUGACAUUAUUAAAAUAUAAGAAAUCAGUAGGAUAGGUUAGAUAUCUAUCAUAUAUGAAGCUCCAACUCAAAGUCAAAAAUAAGAUGCAAGCUGCAUGAAAACAACUUCCGGCAGAAAGGCAGAACCCACAGUUAAGCUUUAUCUGUAUAUCAUAAAUUUAAUGGAGCAACAUAUUAUCCAACAGCAGCAAAUACUAGCUACAUCUUCUCAUCAAAAUAAUAAUCUUUUGUCACAUUAGCAGCAUAUUAAAUAAUAAUCUACCGAAGAUACCGAGUUCGGUGCAAAGAAAGGCUUAAGGAAUCCUAGAUUGCACGAAGAAUAGCAAGCAGGCCAUGUACCCGCAAGAAAUGCAAACAUGUUGCCUUUCAGCACCAACACGAGAAGACAAAACUGUAAAGCUAGCAGAUUUAUCUUCGCUCAAAAUCCAAUUUUAAGGAGAAAAUCGUCGUCUGUUGCAUGCUGUAACAGAUGAAACUGAAUUGAAGAAAGAAAGAAAGAAAGAAGCCCAUAAAAAUUUGAGGGUUAAAAAAAAACCCAACUCACAGAAUCCGGGUACUGAAUGGUGCGGUAGCACCGACCGCUUUUGGCCUCCCAGAACUUGAUGGUGUGGUCAUAUCCCGCCGUCGCAAGAAUCACCGAAGGUUGGCUCAGCUUGAUGCCCCCAGCCCUGCCCCAUCCAUCCACGAAAUCAGAAGCUAGAACGACUACUUCCGUAAAGAACUCUCGGGACAAAUCAUGAUAUGCUAGGGAUGAAAAUUUUGUUCUUUUUCUUUUUUUUAACCCUCGACCACCCAACCGAUUGCCUCGCCCCUCCGCUGGAUCAUGACUCCGCCUCAGCCAUGAAUGAGAUCUUCCAUCCGUAGUGAUCCAUUAAAAAGAGAGACGGGGAGCUGUACCCAAAAAAAAGGAAGGAACAAAAGAGAGAGAGAGAGAGAGAGAGAGAGAGAGAGAGCAUCGGAGAGCAGCGUUUAACUGAGAGAAACAAAGUAAAUCGAACAAGAAAAGGGUUUAUAAAAAGAUUGAGGAGUAUAAAUCCUAAUCUUGCUUCCACGAAUGUAACCCCAGUUCUUCGUCCGCGGUCUAGCUGAUGCAGCCAUUGGACUAAUGCGCGCAUUAGAAAAUAGUAAAAGAGUUCCAAAUGCACAUUUGAAAUGUUGGUGCAAUAGCAGUUUAUCAGUUUAUGCAUAUAUUUGAAACAAAUGAUCCAGCUCAAUUCCCAUGCACAUAUUUUAAUAUAAACAAAAUCACUUCGACAAUUAUAGAUAUAAUUAAUAAUUCGUAUUAAUCACCUAAUGCUGGAAGGGAUUCACUAUGAAUAUUAACUUGGCUCGUUAUUUCUAUAAUAAUAGCUUACUUCACUAUGUCCUUCAAAUCUAAUUUUUUUAGAACAUUUUUCUAUUUUUGGUAGUAUCAAAAUAUUAUUUUGUCUGCAUAUUUUAUUUUCUCCAUAUGAAUAUCUUUAGUUCAUAUAUGUAUAUUUGUAAUUUCUAAUGAGUGUUAUAUAUUAAAAAUAUGCGCAGCAUCUCUGAUAAUAAUGAUCGUCUACCAUCAAUAUAUGAUUAUUGUAGGCAAUAGUUAACAUUAUUAAUGAUGGCAAGCAAUGGUGGGUAUCAUUAGUGGAGAUUACUAAUGAUGGUAGUUAGAGAUCAUUGUUGGCGGUGGACGGUGAUUCUAAUUGCCAUCAAUAAUAAAUGAAGUUAAAGAUCAUCGACAAUAGUAGUUAUGGCAGAGAUCAAAAUACCAUGAUACUUGGAUAUUUUUAUUUAUUUUUUAAAAAUAAAUAUCUUUAGAAUAUAUUUUUAGUUUAAUAUGCAUGCAUCAGUGGCCUAUAAUGAGCGCUACUUUUUUUAAUAUACGCAUAUUCUCUAGCGAUAAAUAUCUACCACCAAUCCUCGAUGAUUGUGUGAUGUCAGAUCAUUGAACAUGAUGACUAGUGGAACAUAUCAAACGAGCAAUGGUGGAUAUAAUUGGCAAAGGUAGAUGUUGGUAAAGAUCGUAAACAGUGGUGCGUGAUGAGGUAAUUGUCAAGAUUAUUAGGGAUCAAUAAUAUAUUUUAUAUGUUUUUCGAAGAAAAUGAAUAUCUCCAAACGUGUGCAUUAGCAAUUCGUAAUAUAUACAUCGCAUGUUUAAAAUGUAUACACUUUAUUCAACAAUAAUUGUUCACCACCAUGGUUGUAGGCAGUGACAAAUCAUCCAAAGUUGUUAUACAGAAUAUCAGUAGUAAAUGUUGUUAAAGAUUGCCGAUAAUGACGGACAGUGACAGACAUUGUUGGCUAUAACGAGCGACAGCAUCAAUGACCGAUGAUUUUGGAGUCAAUAGUGGAGGUUAGUGGUAGAUGGUAAGAAAAUUGCUAAUGGCGGUAAAAAUGGUGAGCGGCGGCGGGCAACGACGGCAGUCGCGACAAUGGGAUGAGGGGUGGUAACGAGAAAACGGUUUUCGCCCCCCAUACCCCGCUUCUAAGCGAUCAAUUUUUCUUUCCCACAGGACACGCUCUCCAUCCCCUUCCCACAUUCUGAGAUGGCGCGUCGAAAAGCAUUUGUCCAGAAAAAAAAAGAGAGCAAAUAACUGAAUGAGCAUUUAAAUAUCAAUACCAACCCCAUUAACUUCUCAUUACACAAGAUACUCGAGAUUGGAGACACUUUUUUUUUUCCACAUCUAGUGAUGGAGAACCAGUCGGAUCUGUUACAUAAAGAUAUGUGGGGGGCUUCAAACUCGAGACCGAUUAAAAGCCAGAAACUUUGGCUUUUUUUUAAAAAAAAAUAAUGGCAUCCUCCACCUAGAUUAAACCACGCCUGUCCAUGCUGAGAUUCAUUUGCUCGAUUCACAAAUGCCUUUGUAGUGAAUUAAUCCACGUCUGUACAUGCUGAGAUUCAUGUGCUCGUUUCAUGAAUACCUUUCCAUCAAUAUACAUUAGCAUAUUCAUGAUUUAAUAAAUAUCUCGGGGCUUGUUUCAACUAAAUAUAUAUUCAGCAAAAAAGGACUGUAUCAUGCAAGUGUAAACGAACAGUAUUUCGAACAUCCCAUAAGCCAUCACCUGUACAGCUUGCAUAACCGAGUCAAAAACCUGCACAAUUUGAAGUAUUCAAUUGAGCAGACUGAGGUAGGAUAAAGCCAUGCAAUUCCAGUCACUGGACUGAAAACUGUCAUGAAAUUAGCAAGGCAAGAAAUAGAAGGCCUAGGUGCUCUCUCUCAGGAAAGCGAUGCAUCAUGAACUGACAAUGACAAAAUCACGCAUGAAAUCUGCAAGACAGAGUUCCAUUCUCCACCAACAGUCGGCUCUCCAAAGAUGAUUUCAGUGUAAGAUGGAUAAGUGGAAGUGCACCUGUCAAACCUGUUUUUGCAUGUCAGUUUUCGAUUUAAUCCCAUUAAAAGGAAAUUGUCGUCUCAUUCUUUUUCUUUUUAAGCAGCAAAAAGAAAAAGCCUGGACCAACUACCAUUCAAGUCGAAAAACAAGUUCAGAGGAUGAAACAUAGCCAAAUUUUAAUUCAAACCUUUGCAAAGAAUUCAUUUGAAUGUUCUAAUCAGAACCCCAAAAACUCAUGGUUGUUUGCCGAAGCACUUCAGAAGUCUGAUCAAGACCAUGAGAUGCCACCUAUGCCAUGUAGGAACUGAAUUAGAUAUACAAUAAGACUAAUGAAGCAGAUGUAUGAAAAACAAUAAUCUGAACAAAGUCGGUCGACAAAAAGAUAUAGAGAACCAAGUAUCUUUAAUUAAAAGCAUAAUACAAACAAUCAGCAAUAUCUAGUCUCAGGGCUUUCAACCAGAUCAAAGUUUGCUCUCCACUUAUGAUAAUCAUCAUCACCAUAUAUCAUGUGAAAAACAGGCGUCAAAUUUGCUCACCAAAAAUGUAAGAGCUGCAUAGCGCUCCUCGCUCAAAUACAAAGGUUUUCCUCUUCUUAUGUCAUGAUCCUGCACCCAGAGGGAGUAUGGUGCACAAAGAAGUCAGUAAACAGAGAAAAGGAAUGGGAUACCAAGUGAUGAGCAAAUUCAUCAUGAGCCUGAGAGAACACUUGAAAUGCUAAUUGUCUGUGUUUGUACUCGUGCACAUGUACAAAGCUAUGCAUCUGCAGUAUUGGAUAAUGCAGUGUAUUUAACAUCAAUGUAGAAGCCAUUCAGUCUUGAAACUAAGAACUGUUCAUGAUACAUAGUAGCAUCACUUUGGCGAUAACUUAACAAUAAAAAACUAAAGUAAUCCGACUAUCUUUGAUGCUCAUGUUUCAUCCAUUUACAAUUAUUAAAUUUGAAUGUUAAGCUGAUUAAGUCAAGCUCUUAAUUUGAAAUGCAGAUCAAUGCCUGCAAGGGAAGGAAUCUUUGGCUUCAGAGACAUGAAUACCACCCACUCAUGUAUCAAAGAGGAAAGGGAGCAGAGCGGUGAGGUGUUGAAACUGUCAAGGCUAUAAACUUCAGAUUGAGUUUUGAUUUUGAGAGGUACUAGUCAAAUAUACAACAAUACCAUAUAGCAUCUUUGAGACAUAAUUCUCUUGUCAUAGUUUCAGAGCUGUAAAAUAAUCUAAAGUACCUCUUCACCAAAGGCAUCCAGGUAGGGAGAUGGCCAAAAGGCUUGCCUUGCAGAUCUCUGCAAUAAGAUUGUGGUUCUCUGUAACCAAGACAAUCAUCAGUAAUAAAGCUAAGAAAAUGUAAUGACCUUAUGAAUUCAAGCAUUGACUACAUAGACUUACCCUGACCAACAGAAAAACACCUACGCCAGAACCGCAGGCCAUCGCAUGAUUUACGCAUUUACUCGUCCUAAAGGGGUGAAAUCAGCAAUUUAGGUGGCGUAUUUAUGAAGCCACAGAUAUAUAAGAGUAGAAUGCAAGAUAAAAGGAAAUUAUGCAUAAAAACUAUGUGCAUGAGAUUAAAAGAGUAUUAUACGAACCGGCAGCAUGGCUUCCAGCUUGGAGAACAUAAUUUACCACAAAGCAAGCACAAUGCAGGUUCAUCUGGGAUAGACUUGCAAUCAGAGCACGGUAACUUUACAUACCUGUUGCACCAAUGUUAUUAAUUUAAUGACCACCGAUCAUGUUGAGUUGAAAAAUUAACAACAUUCAAUAUCAAGUCUGCUUAAAAAUAUUUUAAUCCUAACCUUUGCAAGAGAUCCUGGUAAACCCGAGGUAAUUGCAUCAACUUAAAGGGAACUGCCGGAGUGGAAAAUAAGACACCUCUAUUUUUACAAACUCUGAACUUCUUGAGCAAAUGCUCGCACCAUCUUAAGGAUAAAGCAUGCACGACCUGAUCCUUCAGAACCAAUUCCAAUGACUGAAUCUGAAACAUAUCCUCCAAUUCCUUUAUCCCGUUAAGCUCUACUGUAAGGCAGUUAGCAGUAUCUAAUGCAUCACUGCUUGUAUAUAGAUUCGAUCCUUCCCAUAUACAAAAACUGCCAUAGAGUGGGGCCAACCUUGAGGAUUUUAGCAAUUUCCAGAGUAACGCACAUCUUCGUAGAUAAGGAAAUGUUAAUUUACGGAUCAUAUCCUUCGGAUGACAAGAGGUAUCAAUAUAGUUUGAGACAAAAUACUGUCUAACAAGUUCAGAUUCCACCAUAGUCUUGGAAACAUCAUUAAGAAGGCAGUCACCAAAGCUCGAUAUGUCAAAAUCAUGUUUGCCAUAGCAUGUAAUCAAUGCCUGCAAAGUAUCAUGUCCUUAUGUUUAUAUAUACAAAGAAGAGAAAUGAAAAGGUAUUCAAAAUAACCGUGCAGCCACAAGUUUUUUCCAGAACAAUACUCUAGAUUAUAUACCUGAACAACACAAACCGCAUAGAAGAGAUGCACAAAAGGGAUGAAGAAUUCGCUUGAUGAUAUAAAUGGAAGUGGAAGGCAAAAAAGGACAGCCAUUAAUGAAGAAAAAGGAUCCUGAGCAAGGACAGGAUCAGCAACUUGUUUCCAAAACUGAGUGUCGGGAAAGGCUUCUCCACUGUCAGCACAUUCCAGCACAGAAGAGAAUGUACCUGCCAAACACGAAAUGAAUUGGGGAUGUAAAAUCUGCAUUUGCUUUGGUGCAUUUGAUGAUAUUAUUCUAUUAGUAAACUAAACGUUCCCCUUAGUUUUUGUAUUACCAAAACUUUUUCUUGGAGCAUAUUAGAAUACAUACAUAGAGAGAUAGCAAAUAAUUACACUUAUAUUCUUUAUUUUACUUUAGCAUUAGGUUGAAACUAAAGUGUUUUAAAACCAAAUUAGUCAAGCCUGAUCCAAAGUACAGAUCCUAUCACUGAGGAAGGUAGAGGUAUCAACAAGAGGUCCCACUAAGCUUCUUAUUGCUAAAAUCUCAAGGUCCACAAAAGACUUAAGACUUUAAAGAUAAUGGCCAAAUCUUCAUAAGUACCAUCCCUAAGGUGUGUCCUUGUGCUGAACCACUUCUUUUCUCAACAAAAUCCUUGCCAAGGACCACCAUCUUUAUAGCAAUCAAAAACAUGUUAUGUAUUCAACAUAAAGUGGCGGUCAUCCCAUGGGUCUCUUCAAUAUCUUAGGGCAUGUUUGGAUAAUCCUGUGCAAUCCAACAGGAUUCAUAAGAGCACAGGCCAGGCUAGGCCCAUAGAUAGUAUUUAAAGGAUUUUUUUCAGAGUGGGCCAGCCCGAAUCCCAUAGAAAGAAAAAAAAUGACCUUACCAGGACUUUUUUUCCAUCCAACAAGAAUGGACUGGAAGAGGUCCAGUUGACAUGGGUUGGGUUAAACCUCAUAUUCUAUAAUACUAAGCACAAUCUAUGCACAUGGUUCAUCCACCACUUUGUGUUUCUUCUUGCAUCUAAUCUGUCAAGCUUCACCAAGAAUCCGGCAUCAUAUGGGACCCUUUUCCCCAGCAAAACAGACAAAUACACCCCCUAAUUUCAGAAAGAUAGGCAAUCCAAUUAUUUGUUAUCUUAAAAUCCACAAAGAAGCAGCCAUAGAAGUGAACAUCACAAAAUUCUCGUAUUAGAUCAGCAACUUCCAUAUACUACAAAAACCCAUGAUAUAAGACAUGCUAAAUGUGCUUGAAAGGAUGAUUCUGCUCACAAUCAGGUGAUGUCGCCUAGUAUCGCAUAAAUCUUCCUUCUUGACCAUGCUCAUCCAUCAAAACUAAUGCAUAAUACCUACCAUGGUGCUUAUCUGCUAGAAUAGAACUUUCUUCAAGCAACUACAGAAACAAAAUAGAUCAUCAAGACAAUUUCUUUCAUUUCCUACUGCAACAUGAGAACAUCAAAUAGACCAUCAUCAAAAGCAAGCAAAUAAGCAGCAAACUUUGGGUAGAAUAAGCAAAGGGGGCACAACAUGAACCACAGGGAAGUUGGAUUUUCCUUCUAAAUUAGAUCACUGCCCUGAAUCAUUGCAAUAACAAAAUAACUUCAAGAACAAAAAAAUACUCGCAAUAGGAACCUGGGCCCAUUAUCCAUUGCUAAUAAACAUCAACAGCCAGAACACUGAAUGCUUACCUUCUUCCACGUAUUUUAAUAAAUUACAAAUUCUAAACAGCUUUGAAGACUAUGUCAUUCAUAUGCAACAUAUAGCAUGGUUGAUAUUCACAAGGGCAGCGUUAAAGAUCCACAAGAGGAUAAAACCAUACCUUUUGGCUUAUCAACUUUUGAUAAAUUGUUAUCCCCUGACACACCAGAACAGAUUGACCCUGCUAGAAGUUGAAUGCCUCUGAACCUCAGAAGCACUUCAUGAGGAUUUAAACUGCGAGCAGAUUGAGCAACAUGAAGUAGCAAUGACGAUAUGAAUCCACUAGAAGAAUGGAGUUCACCAUAUAAAGAUUCGAGGCAAGACUUUGAACCAGUGGAACACAUGUUCAGCCUUGCACGGGCAGCAAUUUCUGUAGAUAUAAUAGAGUAUUUAAGUGUGUCCCAGAGAAUCGGAGAAUGACUGAGCCGACCAGAUGCUAACAAGCUACCAUAACUGCGAGGAUAAUAGAGUGUAAACAAUUUUUGAAGGGCGGGCUCCAGAGCUGGUUCUAUGGUUUCCCUUGGCUUUCCAGAAUAGGCUUCGAGGAAUCUGCUCUGUCCAACCAUUUUCGAUGUGCUUUGAAGAAUGGAUAAUGCAAGGGGAAGGCGUAAAAUGCCACCAACCAAAUCUGAUGAGAUUGAUGAUGUUAUAUUAGUCGGUGUAGCACCAUUGAUUGAUAUCCCCAUCUUCCUCCAGGCAUUAUUAGAAGUACAAGGGAAUGCAGGAAGGAUAGAAUUUGCAAAUCUGCGACAUACUGGGCAAAGUAACUCUCCCUGGAAAAAAGCAAAAUAUUAAGGAGAAGGUAUGAUAACAAGUCAUGAAAAUAAUUGCAACACUAUCACAACAGAAAUAUAUCUUACCAGAUCUGGGUCCACAAUGUGGGCUCCCUCGAAACCAAGUCUCCUAAUGUAUCUGAAACAUAGCAGGGAAACAGAAAGUAUGAAGAAUUUUCUUUUCAAGCAAAAGACGAGCAACAGUGAACUAUCAAUAACAAAGUUUCACUAACCCUAUCAAAUGAAAUGAAUUAUAUUAUAUAAGUGAGAUAAGACUAAAAUUAAUCCAGUAUAAAUUUGACCUCUAAGAACUCAAACAUGAGCUACAUCUUGUAUGUUUAAAUCCAGUGCAUGCUAGACAUAGGACUUGGAUCCUUGCCACACUGAUAUAUUUCAUCAGUAUAGUAUUUGAUUAAAACUUUUAUUAGUCAAAAACCAAAAUAACAUAAAUCACCAUACUUAUAGAUCUAAAAUCUGACGUUCUUUCACAGACAGGUCCCGAUAAUUUAAUCAAGAUGACUGAUUCUGUUAUGAUGCUGGUAUCCUGAUCUCAUUUGCAUUGAUUUUGGUUUCUCUCCUACACAUACUGUUUUCCUUCUCCACAAAUUUGUUUUAAAAAACAAUUAGUUGGAACAAAAGAUAGUACAUAAUAUGCAGUUUCCAUGUGUGUUGGCAGGAAAGUUUCAGGCCAAUUAUAUGGUCUUCUUUCACAGACACAACUUUCCUCUAGUUUAAGAUUCUGUCAGUAAAACUUACAGAACAACUUAUCAAACAGUCGGAAGACCCUAGCAUCCUUGUAUGGUUUGAUAUUGGGCAAUAUAUGAUUGAGAAUGCUGAGGUACAAGAAAUGCAAAUGAGCACAGUAUUCGCACCAUUAGGAAGUAACGAGACACCAAUUGGGAUGGUACAGCUUUGUAGAUUGAAAAUGACACUUGCUUGGUUACUGGGAGCAUCCAAGACCUGGAUGUUUGCUUUCACUUAAGGAGAAAAGUAUGAUAACAGGGAGUAAAGAACAAAGAAAUCUGCGAAGAGCAGUGUGAAUAGGUAUUUUUCUCAAAAUAGAUAGAAAUGAAGCAUGAUUGACACAUCAAACUCCAAUUGAUGGAAUUUAGAUCGUUCGAUUGCCACCUUCAUGAUGGUCUCUUAAUUAUCGACAACUUAGCAAAUACUUGUACUUUCUUAUCUAGCUGAAUGGUCCUUUAAAUUAAUAUUCACAGUCAUUAUGCAAAAUCUUCAAUGGUCCUUGAAUAUCAAGAACUAUUCUUAAGCAUUCUUUUCCUCCUGUGCUUACUUUGCAGUGCACUAACAUAUGGAUAUAUCAACUGUUUUAUACCUAUUUUCUUAUUUUUAAUGUUUGUAAUUUUGGAGAGGCAUAUGGUAAAUUGGCAGCCAUACCAUAGUGUUUAGGCAGAUGCCACGUCAGAAAAAAUUUAAAAAGUAUACGUAAAAAUUUAAAAAGUGUACAUAAAUUAGCAUAAAUUGCAUGCGCGUGUGCGCGCGCGCACACAAUAUAUUUGGUUCCCUAAAUCAACUUUGUUCUGAAGACCCUGGUUUUGAAUCUUUUCCAACAAAAACCAACAGUUUCUGACUUUGGAUUCAAAUUUUUACCAAAACUUAUAGCUAUUUUUGAAAUUUCUCUUUCCUUGCUUCAUCACCCCCAACAAAAAAAAGGCCACCAGAACCAUGCAACAAGAGAGAAAAAAAGAAAAAGAAGCAUGACCAUCUUAAGCAGAAAAUAAUUUGCUAACUGCAAAAAUAUAUCACCUACUAAUACCAUCUCGCUAUUUCUCCCCUUAAAUCUAGAGGAACUUCAGAAGUUUGACCUUCCUAAUGUAUGAGAAAAAUAUGCAUAACUAGCGGGUCACAUCCCCACCACCUAGCCUUUACAUCUCAUAACAAGUACCACACUUGUUUAGAGUUGUCUUGACUAGGAAUUCAGCACCAUUUUGUAAAUAUCCUGUAGAGUUCUUUUUCUUUUUGAAGGGAAAGGAAUGCCGUACCUCACCUAGUGUCAACGGUAUUACAAGUUGAAGGAUGACCAUAAGGCAUUCAAAUUUUAGAAGAUCACCAUAAUUCCCUUAGACUGGAAGACGUUAAUUGCCAAAUAUCAGACUUGACCACAUUACAAAAAAGGAUCUUUUAAGUUUCUCGAUUCACUAUGCAACCAAGCAAUAUAAAUUCCCUACAAUAUACAGUUCUAGUGAACAUACAUAUUGAAUAUCUAUUAGGAAAUAAUAUGUUAUUGUGACUUUCCUUGUUAACACAAAGGAAAAUACUAAGGGAGGUCAUUUUGGUGUACUUAUUUUUGGGGGGAGGGAUUAGAAGCACCACAACUGAAGUGGUAUUAAUGUUCUUUUGGAUGAAGGAGCGAAGCUUAGAACGCAUAGUCAUAAUAUUUUAUAGCAGAGUUACCAGGAACCAUCUAUGGAAAAAGAAAAACUUGAUAUCCAAAAUCAUGAUCGUUCAAUGAAUUGUUGUGUUAUAAGAUUAACUUCAGAAUAUAAAAACAUGAUGAACAUUGCCUUCUCAUAUGUUGAACUCUACCCAUAACACAGAGUAGGCAAAUUUGUCUCAUAAAGUAUCUCUCUCUCUUUCUCUCUUUGAGAUUAGGAGGGACUAACACCUCUUUUCUAACCUAUAUCCCGACUAAAUCCCUCGAGGCUGACUCCAACCGGAAUCAAAUUUUUGCUCCACAAAGGUUGAUACCAUCCGAGCAAGCACUCAGUGGCAAAUUUAUCUCAUAGAGUCAUUCUUCAUUUCCUUCCAAAAGAAGGAUAUCAAUCAUCAGAUAAAAGAAACUUCACAAACAAAUUCUGAUUAUUAAAAACAACUUCAGAAGUUAAAUGUAUUAUUUGAAAAAAGAAAAGGCUGAAAUGCCUAUAGCAGAUGAAUAUAUUCUGACAGUCUGCAUAGCAUACCGUUGUUUCAAGGAUGACAGAUAUCGAUCAUGACACUCCUGAUGCACAACAUGCCCACAAGAAGAAAUAUGAAUCCCAUCGCAAUCGCUCGGGCCAAAUCUGUUGAAUUUAGCAGUUGAAGUAGGCUUUGAUGAUACAUCUGCAAGAUGUUGCAGACCAUACAUGGAAGAUUGACGUUUUGAAGUCUCUCUUGACAAAUAUGCAAUGUACUCCCCAAGCACAGAACACUCUAUGUUUCUACUUUUCUUUGAACCUACUGGAAUGCAUAAAGUAGAAUGUGUCUGUUCACCAUCCAGUGCCUCUGUAUGGGAUUCAAUACUUCGUAUGUCCUCUACAAUACACCGAUAGAUUUCAUCCUCCAUCUCAAGAGACAAUGUAGUGUCUGUGUCAUUAUCACAUGAUACAGUAGGCAGUUGAAUAUUUCUAAUAUCAGGAAGCUGUUCUUCAAAAAAGUCAAGAAAUGCAUUACCCUCUGCAGGUUCUAUAUCAAUGGAUAAAUCAAGGCCAGCAUUCAGAACCAACUGUGCUGGACUGCUUGAGUCAGCACUAGAUGGAUUAAAAAGCCCUCUUUUCCAAAUGAUUGUAUCUUCUCAUCUAACUGGCCUCCAUCUUCCCACGUUGGUGGACCUCUCUCAACAAAAGUUGUAAGCCGAGAUUUCUAAUUUCAAUGAAGUGUAAAAAAAUGAAAGUACAAUCAAUAAUGGAAAAUAACGAAGAAAAUCAGUAAAAUAUUGAUGGCAUACAAGUACUUGCUGAUAGUUAAAAAGUGAAAAUUAUGUGAAGGCCUGCUAACCAGUAUGUCUGAAGUAAAUUAGCAGAAACAAAUUCUUACCUGGAGAAGAAUCAGGAAGCAUAACGGACUCUGUGAAUCUGGAUCAUGACAAAGGGCACAAAGUGGUGCUGAUUCCUCAGAGACAUGGUCAACUUCUGCAAUUGAUAUUUCCUGCUUGGAUAUUGGAGCAUCUGAUUCAUCACUAACCAUGGACUUGAGGCUGGCAAUAAAUCUUGAUUGCUCGGCUCUCAUUCUUGCCUAUAAUAUACCCAAUGAGAAAGGAAGACAAGUAACACAAAAUAAAUAAAGUUGUCAUGAAAUAACAAUUAUUGAUAAGUAUCAACACGCUCAGAUAGGAUGAAUUUCCUUGAGACAAAAAGGAGAUGUUUGCAUACAUGCAUCACCCCAUGAAUAUUAUUUGCAAUAUUUACUGCAAAGUUAAAUGGCAUAUAUGGAUCGAACUAACGUCAUGCCUGAUUUUUCAUACAUUUGAUAUACAUCAUAGCUUCGCAUCACCAAUCAAAUCAAAUCCCAAAUAAAUCCUUUUAGAUAUAUUGGUUUAUUAAAUAUUACAGUGGCCAUUUACAUAGAUCAAGGUUCAUUGAACCGGUACCAACAUCCGCAGUGGUUGGUGACCGGAACAGUAUAGUACGGGUCCUUACCGUAUCAUUCCGAGGCAAAACGUAAUUUUUUUUUGAAUUUUUUGAACUGAAGUCUGCAAAUGAUAAUGUCGACUUCAUAUAUAGCAACUCAGCAAACUAUUUGCCAAUUUCAAUUGAAAAACGGCAAAAAAAAUAUAUAGGAUCCCUUGUUUCGUUUUAGAACAACGGAGCCCUGAUUUGAGACAAAACAAGAGGGGCUUCCAAGCCCUCUCUCGCUCUUUCCAAGCAGCGGGAGAGUCUUUCUCGGCCUCCCUCCCUCUCCCUCCCUCCCUCUAUAUCUCUUCUCCUCUCUCUCCUUCUUCCUUCCUCACCUGAUUUUUCGAACUGCCAGUUCACCCUCGGUACGAGGCGGUUCGGAGCAGUACAACGAAUGCAAUUAUAGAUUAUUUAGUCAUGUAACAUCACGCAUCACAUGAGAGACAAUAACAUAUUGCAAUCAUGCAUAAAAUAGCCAACACUCAUUUCUCUAUAACAGCAGCAUAGAAAACUGUUUCAAGAAUAAUACAAGUGUCAGUACUUAUUGUUACAAUGAAGUUUUUGAAAAAUGUAUAAUCCAAUGAUGCAACAACUUGGAAAUCAAAAGACAGUCUACACAGUUCCUCUUGGUUGAUAACCUGAGAAAGAUUUGCAAAUCUUUUCCUGGUUUAGAGACACAAGGUCUGAGAAUAGCAGGCUACAACAGAUUUUGACAAUUUACAAAUUGAGUACAGGUGAAAUUUUUGAGUAUCUCAUGAAAGCUUCUUAGAGGGAAUACACACAGCUACCAGAAACUAGAUGUGCAGGUUGACAACUCUACAUAUAUAUAGCUCAUGACAAUUCUCUUUUUUAGAAGUUAGUAAACAAAGUAAACAAAAAGUUAAAUUUCCUCAAUCACCUAAAUGAUCUUCCUCAUGUCUUUCACCUUCAGGGACUUUUCCUUCAAAUGUCCCAAGGAAACAAUCUUGCAAAUGACAGUCUCAAAAUCAAAAUGCUGAAUUCAGCGUAACAUUUUUAAUUUCCAAUGAGCACUUAGAAAGCAUAAUCAUUCCUAUCAAGUUGAUAAGAUAUGACACAUUUCCAUGUAAUUUUGCAUAGUUAUGGCACAAAAUCUUUUCAAAGAAAAGGUGAAGGACUACUCAAGCUUGGAGGGCUGAAAGAAAUACAUAAAUUAAACCCUAAAGUAGUUAAUCACAUCAAAUAGUUAAUCCCGGGGAAGGAAACAAGGCAACAAAAUCUUACCAUAAUAGCAGCUUGAUGCUCUCGUGCUUUUGCCCUACGCUCCACAGUACCAGAAGCUGAUGCCAAAUUAUGCAUGGUACUGUCAGGAAACUGCUGAAGCAUUCGACAAACCAUAUCUGGCGCCAGUUGCUUCAGGGCACCCAUGCAAUCAGUACUCAGCUGAGCAAACUUCUUCAAUAAAUUCUCAAUCAGAGAAGCAAUAUCACACUGCCUUGUCUCAGAAAUACCCUUAUCAUUUUCUUCCUUAUGCUUCCUCAUUAACGAAACAAGCAGUGACAGCAAGCUUUGAUUCUUCCAGAAAAAUGACUCAUUAGAGGCACUCACAUUAAAUCCUUCACAAGCAUACGUCAAAAGAGGAAAAGAAUCUUCUGCUCGAUGAGAAAAACUCAUGCAUGACUGAUUAUCACGACUCUGUGAAUCACAUAUAUCUAAUGCUAAAGAGAGUAAGUGCAAUGCUGUUAUGAGAACACCAUCAGGAGCUCGAGAUACUGGUGACAUCUCUGUGAAAACAGAAUAAAAUAGAACCGCACGAAUAAUUUCAAGAACUGCUUUUGAUGUAGCAAUUCUAGAAAUUGUAGUCAAUGGUUCAAAGAUAGCAGUCCAUCGAGGAAGCUGAACAUUAAGUGCAGAAACUUUGCAGAACCGGAAAUAUCUCUCCUCUGCAACCUGUAAAUCCCUAGAAUUCCAGCGGGGAUGAUACAGAUCCAACUCUAUCCAGGAUGCUUUACGAAGAGAAUAUUUACCCUGAAACACAGGCGGAUAUCAGUUCAAUCUUAAUUGAUUACAGAUCAAAUUUUAGACAGGGCAAACAUAUACCACAACAUGGACCACACCUGCUUCAUGCCAGAGGGAUUCGAAUACACUGCAAGCAUAUCAACAACAUUUUGAAGCUGAUCACUCUUUGAAAGAUCACGAGGAAGAGCUUUUACCAGCUGGCUAUGAGUAGCAUCUCCAAUAGCUAACUUACAUACCAAUUCUCUCUUCAAAUUUUCAACUAGAGAAAAUCCAGAAAAACGCCGUUCUUUGACUAUUUGUAUGAUGAAAGUGAGCAUUUCCUGUACCAGAACUGGCUCAUACCUGAAAACAAUGUUUUCCUUGAGGCAUGUUACUAAAAGAUCUGUUUAGAACAUACACACUCGUGUGCAUGCACACACCUUUUUUUUCCAAACUCUAGAAUAACUGGUUAAUAAAAGCACCAAGCAAAAUUCAAAUACGAAGGUUCUGUAUUAUAGAUCAAAGUUUCAGUAAGUAAAUACAGCUGUCCUAAGAAGUGCAAUCUUUGUCCAAGAAGUUCUGCUGCUCUGUCAAAAUGCCCAUAGGAACGGUUCUACCAUGCAAUAUGAACAGAUAAAAAUCCAGAACAGAAACAAACGGUAACUUAUUGCUUCAACCCAUGCAGCAAAAAAUAAUUCUACAUACUAAGGGACACACAUGCGCAAGAAAACAUAGUUCCUAAAACCAUUCCCUGCGAUAUAUUUAGGCACUAAAAGCUUUUGAUAUAAAAAAAGUCUUCUGAUUUUUGUUCAUUAUACAAUCCACUUAACUUUCAAUUCUAAAAUAUUUUGACUCUAGUAAGGAAUUUCUGUGCCAAAAAAGGAAAAAAUCAUAAACAAAUUUCUGGAAUGUAGACAUACAGGGCACAAUGAUAUUCAACAAAAAUGGACCUGAUUCAUAUACUGGAAUUGUUACAAACACUUGUUAUGAUCUAAUGAAAAUCUACCACAACCAUGAGAAGAUUGCAAACUUCAAUGCCCCAAGAUUCAUGACAGCAAGUUAAAGGUACUUCCACUAAAUUUCCCACUUAAAAAAAAGUAUUUGAAAUCAAAUUAGACUAUAGAACACAGUGCUGUUCAAAUAAGGUUGGAAGAAAGCUGCUUUGAAAUUAGGUUUUACUUUGGAAGGAAAAAGGUUUCAUCAAAAAUUAUAGCUGGGGGAAAAAAAUCAAUUGCCAGGGGGAGGGAGGGAGGGAGCUAGAGUGGGUGGGGAAGAAAGUAGGGUGUCAAGGGCCCGAUUGCUGCCAGAUUAAAAAAAGACCUCUCAAGAUCUUUUUUUUUUCAAUCCCAUGGGACUGGGCUGUGACCCCCUGUGGUAUCUUUCUCCGUUCUCCCGCUCCUUCACUUUCUCAGCCCCCUCCCCCAACUGCUCUUCCUCUCUGCCAAGACUGCCAGAUCUGGCAACCUUAGCAGACUGUAAAUGACCUUAGUGGCUUGUUAGUUUUAUAACUUGAUAAUGCUCAAAAUAAAGACAUGACGAACAACGUAAAUCAUAUAGCAGAUUUUCAAUUUGGGGGAAAAAAAAAGGACAGUUCUCAACCCCCAUAUUCAUGCCCCUUCCACCUCCACACCCCCACUCCCCCGGCGCAAAGGGAAGGUGGAGGUUUGGUACAAGGAUUUUUAUAUCACAUCAAAAAUUAAUUAAUAUCUUCAGUAAAAACAACCUUGAAACUUUCAAGAUAAGUUACAAAGUUUGCAAGUUUAAGGUUACCGGCAUAGACAAAAGAGGACGGGUGUUAGGAGUUACUAGCCCAAUCCUAGAAAGAUGGAUUUUCAUAAUCCACAAACCUCCCUCCCUCCUGUACACGCCAAUUAAUAAUACUGUAAACUACCAAUAGUUACAGAGUUCGGAAAGAAAAGGAAAAAAACAACUAGAUAGGUCAACCAGAAUCUGACACCACCAGAUCCCCUCAUAAGUCACCAUCACAUAUUGCAGAACCACUACCAUUAAUAAUUACAACGUACGGAGGAAAUAAAAGAACAAAAUAAUUUGAUUGGCCUGAACCUGUAUGCAUAGCCACCCUCCACUCCCUCAAAAAAUAAAGAAAUCCUGUAUUGCAGUACCACUACUAAUAAAAAUUGCAACAAAUUUUUAAAGGGUAAAAGAAUCUUCAAUGCUGUUUUUAUCCUCAAAUCUCAAGGCUAACUUAAAGCUUUUGCAGCCCUUGUUGACGUUCAAAAGAUCCCAUCGCUAGCGAACAAAUGAUUCCAUUCAAACUUUUCUUCCUUUGUGCCAAGGAAUCCAUUGCCAACAUUAAUGAUCAGAGUACAUAUGUAGUUAUAUUGGCCAUGGCCACCCAAAACAUCAACCAACAUAUAGCCAUACAAAAUUUUUCAACAUUCUCGAGCCACAGCCAUGCUCAGUAUAUACAACAUAAAUUUUCCUACCUUGGCUAGCAGAGCAUAUGAUAGCAAAUUUAACCAUUUCUCUCUAUUUUUCUGAAUUAUUUUAGUUCCCUCUGUUUUUAAUUAUUUUAUUUUUGUAAUUCAACCGAAUUAUCGAAUCAAAUGUACUACAGCAUCCAAUUGAGAUGCGGUACUAAUUACUGACCACAAUCACUCUGGUGCUUGAUACCAUGAUUCUCACUCUUGUUCUGACCACAAUCUCAAAACUUGUAGGAACAUGAAACUGGCAGCAGAUGCCUCAUUAUUAGCUUUGCUUUUCUCUUUCACCAACAAAAAUGUGCUACAGGGCAUUAUCACAAAUUUGUGGCAUACAUGCAUGAAAUGAACAUGACUAAACUUAGACUCGGGAAAAAGAAAGACAGUAAAUGCACAUUUUGACAUGUCGACAUGCCAACAUGGAGAUACUAGAUACUCACUCAUUAUGUUCUGCCAGAUUCAGAGAUGUAUAAUUUGAUAAUCCAUAUCUUUCUUGAAUCCUCCUAACAAACAACUCUGGAGGAGCUAAAGCAGCACAGCACUGUACCAAAAAUAGAUCAGAUUCUAGCCCUUGUUCCAACCUAGAGAGUAAGAAAAAAGUGAAAACCUCAGAUUAGCUUACUCAAGAUCUCAUUCUAACAGUAAAUUCAAUAAAAUUCAUUAUAAGCUCACCAUCGCACAGAACGAUAGCACUCAGAACUAAAUAUGGCAGCAUCACCAUUUUUACGCCACAUGCCUGCGCGCACUUGAGCACAAAAUACUCUUAACCUUAGCGGAUGCUCCAUCACAAAAGCAGAAAAUCCAUAAGGCUGUAAACUACCGAAAACCUGCCGAAAAAAUUCUUGGUGAUAUGCUGACGUAGGUAGUGAAGAAAGCACAAGUGCCUUCUCCAACUUUUCAGUUUCACCAUAGCAAGUUUUCAUUGCUAUUCUCAAUAGCAACGAAAGCAAACGAUGUAGAGGAAUGUGAAAAGAUAUCUCCUGUGAACUGACAUCAUAAACUAUAUCAGGCCAGUUAGCCAUAUUCAAGAUACCCAAUGCUUCCACUUCGGUACCAAGGUCUAUCUCCAGAAGACUAUCAUCUGACAAUCCACUCGUAGAAGCAUGAUCAGAAGACAUGUCAGUGGUGCCAUCAACAUCCAUCGAAUUACCACCAGUUAUACCAUGAAUAAGCGGAUCCUUAAGCCUCUCAUAAUGCUCGCUAGGGGUAGGCACUUGGGCUGCAUCCAUAUCCUCCCUACACACAGAUGUCCUGUAGACGUUAUUACUGUUCGCGCCCUUCUUUUUUCUAAACAACUUCUUUCUCAAAGUCAAGAGAUUAUAACCACUGCUACUAAUAGCAUCAGGACCAAAGGAAUUGUUCCUCCGAGCAAUUUCUGGUUCCAACCAACCCUCCAUAGAUUUUAGGCAUUCAAAAAUCAAAAAUAUGGCAGGAGAUGGAAUAGACAGGCAAUUCCGUAUAUCAACGUUUACAUCAUGAUAUUGCAAUCCAGAAUCCAAUCUGCUGCUUCUGCUGCUUAAACUACAUGCAGAGCUUUCUUGAGAAAGUCUUCCCACUUUUGCAUGGCGCACACUAUCACUGUCAUUCAAACCUUGUACUUCCAUAACAUCCUUCAUUUCCUUGGACUCGGCAAAAGAAAAUGCUCCUUGCACCAAAAGAGUAUGGACAUUGCCAAUACAGUGUCCCAACACAAAUGGUGCAUCCAGACUUUCAUUUUCUUCUUCUGUGUGAAUACUUGUAGCUCUCUUUAGAGCAUCCAUGCCUUGUACGAGGCUUAAAAGUUUGAUCCAAGUUCUAUAAAUAUCAGGCCGCUCAUGAGUAAUAUAUUUGAGAACCUCCUCAUGGCUCAUAACAUACCGUGUAUCUUCAACCAGACGAAUUGUGGUUCCAUACAUAUUUGCCCAUUUAUUUGCCUGCAAAAAAGUUUUGCGAUCAAAUUUCACAAUGAUUCAAGAGAAUGACAAGAAUAUCUUGAAGAACAUAACAAAUUGAAGACCCAGUUGUCAUGUGUACUGGUAAGAGUACCACAUCCUUGAUUAAUCUCACAAGCAAGUUAAGUAAAUUUUGAUCCUUAACAAGUAGCAAACAAAACUUUCACAGCAAGGCUAUUCAAAUGACAAUAAAGAAUAAAUUUGGGAGUGAUGCUGUAAUAUUGGAGAAAAAUGCAUCGUUAUCUUACCUGUAAACUAUUAUCUUCUCCACAACAAGAAAGAAAAAGGUCCCUCAAGCAUCCCAGAAGUACAGCCAACAGAUUCACCUCCCGUACAAGUCGUGGUGUCAAAGUAGGCACUGUGAAUAUUUGCACAGAGAAAGUCGAUAAUAGCGGAUACUUUUCAAGCAUUGAAUCACUACACUCUUUAAUGAUUUCAUUUACAGUAAUUGGAUAGUAUCUUGUGAAAGCUUUUGCAAACUCAUACUUAAAAAGAGGUUCCCCCAGCAAUUUUAGAAGCAACUCAUGAAGCUUUUUCACAACAUCCGUGUCCAAGAACCUCUCCACCCUCGCAAGAACAUCUAAUAAACCAAUACACUGAAGCAUUCUUCUUGAGAUGAAAUUAAGAAGGCUUUCACUACAUUUGCAAAAGUCAAGCAACAUAUCAACAACUGCAGAAGUUAACUCAUUUGCAACCUCAGGACAUGCAUCUUUGUGGUCACCUUCUCUGAGGAGCCUCAGAAGCUCCGCUAAUGAAACCUUGUCCUUCCAACACACUAGAAGAGCAUCCAGAACAGGUCCAACAGAAUUUGCUAACUCCUCAGGGAGAGGUUGGAACUGUUCUGAUCCUUUAUGCUUUGAACAGAAUCCUUCGCGUUCCCAGGCAGUAAUAUCUCCACAAUCGCAGCAUCCACCUCCAGUGUACAUAAUCGAGUAGUCAUGAUCUUUGUGAUUGCCAUUCUGGAAGCAUGGAACACAUAUUGCACAGGUUGGGUCAUGCUCACAUGUUCGGCAGCGGUAAGCCAAAUCAUUUCGUCCCCAAACAGCCCCACACACAGCACGUUGGCCAGCAGCUUUCUGAGCCAAAUCCUGCAGAGUUGCCUGCGGUUCACUCUCAAACAUAAGCCAUUGUAACCACAACAUGCUCUCACCAAACUCAUCAACAUUUAUGCAGCUGGAGCUUCCUCCAGACUCCAACUUAGAUGACUUCUGAGGCUCAGAUACGUGGAUAUCAGUUGGUAAGAUGGCAGACACAAUCUCCUGAACAAAGGAUUUGUUUUCCUUCACAAAGUUCACGAGUCCCAGUUGAAGCUGUUCGAGCCGAUCCAGGGGAACCCCUUGCCGAAUUAGUCUCUGGAAAUUUCAAACGCUAAAAAUAUUAUUACAUUAAACAGAAUUCAUAGACGAACCCCAAGAUAAUGUGAAAUAAUAAACACGCCAUUGGAAAUUCAAGAAUACAGAUUUUCUUUAAAAGAUAGUAUGAACGUUUAAUGCAUUGGUGGAAUAGGGCAGACGAAUAGGGCAUUUCAGUAAAACCCAUUAAUAUUUCUCAAUUGAACUCGGUUCUACAUUUCGUGCAUUACCAUUAAUAUUGCAGCUAAUCUCCACAUAGCACAGUAAUUUUUAGUGGGUUCCCACGUAAGUCGGAAAAAGCUACUUUCUUUCGACUUUGUUCCCCAAAAAUAUGAAAGGAAUUAAAUAAAAAAGGAAAAAGAAGAUCGCACAGAUCGUUAUCUUAACUCGUAUGUUUUCAUGCAAAUCGCCUCUCAAAAUCGAAAACGCUAUUCCGAAGCAACCCUUACUAAUUGCGAGGAAAAAUAGACUGAAAUCAGCGAAAAAAUAAGCGGAAGAAGGAAAGAAAGAAUCUUGACGGCUAAUAACCUCCCCUCAAUCCCCCUUAAAUCUUUUAAACAAGAAAAAAAAUAGAGAGAGACAAAUAGAUGAUGAAGUCGUGCCUCGACGAUGCGAUCCCGGGGGGACAGCGGGGGAUUCCGCUCUGGCGGUGAAUCGACCUCCAUUCCAGCCAUGAGCCGCAGCCAAUUCGCGCAACUCCAGCAGAUCCCUCUCGAGCUUCCUCGCCCCAGGUUUAUGGACGCGGAUAGAGAUACUACAAGGAGAGAAAGAAAGUGGUCUUGGGCUUCUCCCUAUCUAACAAACCCUAGCUUUUUCUCUCUUUUUUUCUAUAUUUCCGGGAAUGAAAGAAAGGGGUCUUGGGCUUCUCCCUCCCUAACAAACCCUAAUUUUUUCUCCGUUUUUUUCCUACGGUUUCGGGAAUCCGAGAUCUUUCCUUACCCCUUUUCCUCUGCAACUCAAGAAGGCGGUGCGAUCUUGCGUUUUGAUAGCACAACGCCACCGCCUUCUUCCCUAUCCGGUAUUUAUUCGCCCCGAACCGACUUGCUGCUACGGCCAGCGUUCCAACGUCUCGAACCCUCGCAAGGAACCCGCUAAUGUAUAAACUCCUCUUUUGCGAUAGAUGCACGCCGCUUUUCUUUUGUUUUGACUUUUUUCUCUAUUCCAGUAAUAAGGUGAGAGAAAUGUGGACGCAAGAAGAGAGAAAAAUGUUUUUAGGAGCAGGAGAACAUCAUAUAAAUUGAUGCACGCAAGUUAGACCUGCAUACAUAAAAACGUAUGUAAAUAUACAUAAAAAUAUAAUAAUAAUAAUUGUUUGAUACCAAAUAAUAUUAGAUUAUAUCUUUAUCAACACCAACUAGGAUGGGAUUUCUUUUUGUUUGCUGAGACUUAUGAGAUUAAUUAUAGAAACAUGGAAUGAUGGGUAUUUUCACCUAACACGACAGUAAGUAAUCGACUAUAACUAUUUAAAUUAUUAUACAAUUGUAUAAAGCAAAUGUGACAACUAAAACUCUGGAGCUCAUUUCGCCCAUAUGAUUUAUUUUUCUUCUAAACAUUAAACUUAUAUAUAAUAUCUAGAAAUCGAGGAAGUAUGUACGUUUUUUAUCUAAGCCAAUAUUAGUGAGCUCAAAAAACCUUGCAUAUGCACUUAAUACGCACCAGGAGAUAAUUCUUUGUGUAAUAUUUUCAGUGUAUUAUUUCAAGCUAUAGCAUAGAUCGAAAGUGUAUUCGAACGUCUUGAAAAUGAUAAUAUUUUAUUUUUGUUAUUACUAGCUAUGAUUUUGUAAUAUGAAAUGCUCGAUUGCAAUAAAAUUUUGAAAUUACAAAAUCACAAAUUAAAUAAUUUAAUUGUGAGUUAAAAUUCUUGAAAUCAGCUUUCUUUAAACAUUCAGAUCUCCAAAUCUCUCCAUUCUCGAACCACCAACACAUAUUAUCUUAAAAUCUUUUAAUAUUCAAAUAUUUCAAAUAACGUAAAGUUAUUAAACUAAUAGCUCCAAACAAAGCCUAAUAGAAUGGAUGAAAAAAAAAAAAUAUUGCGUGUAUCAGCAGACAUGUGCACAAGGAAUUCGCUUGAGUGCAGGAGGAGCAUCUUAAGACACUGUUUUCCAGUUGCCCACUUUGCAGUUGGCCUCGUUCACCUAAUAAAGGGCUAAUUUUGGCUCUCAAGUGGCAUCCAUGAGACUUAGAUGAGUUUUCCUAUUUGCCUUUUUUUCUUUUUUUUUUUAUUUGUGUGUGUGUGUGUGUGUGUUGAAAGAGGAGCGAGCGCCUAAUAGAACAAAGCAUGACAGAGUUUACAGAUUACAAACUUUCCAGCAAAAGAUUAAACAAACACCUAUUUUAUAUAUAUAUAUAUGCAGUAGAUGGAGUCAUAGUUCACUGCAACAAAACAAAGGACAACUUCCCAACCGCGGCACCUAAACAACCAAAGGCAUUUGCAAUUUAUACACUACCUGAAUGGCCUAGUCCAAUUUUAGAUUAUUUAAAAAAAAAACAUAUUUUGAUCCCUCAAUUGUUGCAAACAUCUUCUCUAACUCUCUCUUAAAAUGUUUCAAUUAGAUUCCUCAACUUUAUUUUCAUUGCAAUUCGUCUAUCUCCCUUAGAUAAAAUUAUGACCAUCACAGGAGUCCUCAACAUUUUUAAAAUUUUCUAAUAUAGCCGUUGUCCCGAAGAGAAGAAGCCCCAUCUGUUGCAGGUUUCGAUUGAGCUGUCCAAUUUAGCACCAUUAGCGGCGCCAUAAGAGGAGGCGAAGAAUACCAUAGACUUAAACUAGAGAUUAAGGAGGUUGAUUGAAGCAUUAAAGGAGAUAAGGUCUCUGUGCAAACAGCUGAAAGUUGAGAGGGACCAACUAUAAUUUUCUCAUAAGAAAAGAUUAUGUACUUACUUGCUUGGAUUUCCUUUUUUUAUUGGAUAGGAAUGACCUUGCUUUGAUUAGAAAACGGAAUAGAAGAAUUAGAAUGUGGGAAACCAAGUUGGCAUCUGCCAUGAUCCAAUCACUAACAAACAUCAUAAUAUGAGAUACUUGAGCAAUUAAAACUCCAAGGCUCACCUGCUCGGACGUCAACUAAAAUCUACCUACCAGGAAACAAGUGCACGCUUGUUCGACCUGAUGAGGCCGAAUAUAUUCUGCUUUAAAUGUCCAUAUAUUCUCGCGGAAAAAAGACGCUCAAAUUGACCCAGGCCAAGUUGGUGGCAGAAAUAAGAAGGAACAAAAAAAGACCAUGGAGGUGCUUGAGAAAUUUCUUGAUUGCUUUCUAAAUUAGCAUAAGCUAGAUCCUCAUAAAAAAUAUCCAAUAACAUUAAACUGGGCGAUGACUUCAGUUUCUGUACAAUUUUAGUUUUAAUUAUCAAUAAUUAGUAGUUAUUGAAAACUAUUUUUCUCAAAAAAAAAGAUCAAAUAAAAUUAAAAUAUAAGUAACAUCAUGUAAUAUAUUAGCAACAAUGCUUAGAGGUUUGUACCAUAACCGUCAGCUUACGCCAGAAAACAUUGCGCGAAGCCCGUAGUAUAUCAUUCUUUGGACAUGGAUAGAAAAAGGAUGCCUCAGUGGAUGAUGGUCUAGAAAACAUUGGGCGCUCUUAGUGCAUCAUUCUUUGGACAUGGAUAGAAAAGGAUGCCUCAGUGGAAACAAUCUUAUCAUUGCGUCGGCCUGUCCUUCUCUUUCUUUUUUUUUUUCCAGGCAUAGGUAAAUAUAAUAAUUUGGCUACUAAAGAGAACACGAAAGCUUGAAGAGAAAGGGCAAUAAAGAAGGAGCCCGGCCAAAAAAAGUAGAAAAAAUAAUAAAAGAUAGAGGUGAAAUAGAGGCAUUUUUGACUCGAUGGAUUUUAUGUCGCAGCUUGCUUGCUGAUGGCUGAGGCUGCAGCAACCAGUCAGAGGAUAAUGGCUAAAAGCCUUGGCAACGAACGCCAACGGCGAAAAUGGCAAAAAGAAAGAGAAAAAACAUGAGAGAAAAUAGAGACCCCGUAACUACCACUGCUAAGUGAGGUCCAAGACACAUGUAACAGUGUCUUUAGGUCCGGCUUUUGCUUUUGGAGACUCAAAUGGAUAUAAUUUAUCUAGAGAGCAUUGAGACACGUAUGGUAGUAUUUUUUCCCUUUUAAACAUAUUCUCCAAUGGAAGCAACAACCAAGACUUGAAUCCAAGAAUACCCGACCAAAAUUAGACUCUAGAAUCCCGUUCAUAUAGGAAAAUGCAUUCCUCGUCAGACAUUGUUUAGAAUCCCCAAAGGCUUCAUUAAAACACACCAACGGGCAAGUUCUUCUUCACCUACACAUCCUGCAAACUUUGACCUAAUCAAGAGAAAAAAUGAAACCACGUUUAAAUAAUGACAAAUUGCAUAAGAUCAUCUUUUUACCUGCAACAAAAAGUAUGGCUUUGGGCACUCCGAAGUGAUAGAAAUCUAAAAAGAAAAGUUAGAACUAAGGUUUCCCAGAAAAAAUUUCUCACUGAUUUUUUUUUUGAAAAUAUGGUGCCUGAAAAAAUGUCUUUAGCAUGUUUGAUUGAUCAUGAAAAAUAACACAUCUCCGAGUAAUUUAUGUUUGAUUGAGCAUCUACUUUUCUGAGAAGUUGUAUAAAAUACCUAUUAUAUUCUUAAUAAAAAAUAAAAAUUUUAUCUAUAAAUUUUGAUGAUUUAAAUAUAAUUUUGAAAAAAAAUACAAUUUCUAACUGAUAAAAAAAUAGUUUUUUCAUAUCUCCUAUAAAUUUUUCUUUUCCAUAAAAUAUAAAAAUAUUAUUUCUAUAAAAAUACUAUUUUUUCAUCUCCCUCCUUUUAAAAACUCCAAUCAAAUAAAAAGUAUUUUUCUAUUUUUUCAAAUCCUCAAAAAAAAUAAAACCCUUAAAAAGAUUAGUCUAAAGUGACAACAGACAAAAAAAUUAAGCCACCUGCCGCACAUUUUUCCUUGCUCGACACUGAGGAGGGCUACCUCAAAAGGAUGCCACCAAACAGAAAGCAAAACAAGUAGCUGCCGGAUCAAAAAAUGUAGGCCUUCCCUAAGCAAACAAAAGAUAUUAAAAAAAAAAGGCCAUAAAAGCGCAAAAUCUUUGCCACGGUGCAGCUGGAGUAAAAAACUUUCCAGUUGGCACCAAAGCAGCAUCAAGGCCCAACAUGUAAGUAAACUUCAUGCAUGGAUUCAUAGGAAUUUGUCCAUGCUUUUAACAUGCAUAGAGUAAUUCCUUGCGGAAUGCAUUGAUACCUAGUGGAGCUAAGAUGCGUACGAAUAAUGUCCAAUCCUUUGCAAAAGGAUCAAAGAUAGUAAGGACCAGAAUUAACCAGAAACUAAAAAGAGUAACCGAGCACAGCACCCAAAAAAAAGCAGCAGAAGAGUGAAAGCCAUUGAAAUAAAGUUACAAGGAAAGUGCAUGACACUUCAUUUCAGUGCCAUCUAACACCAACCACAGCCUUUAUAUGGAAGCCUGAAGGAAUCCAAGUUCAACCUAGGUAAUGUCCCUCUAGAAGGGACCCCGAUGGAAUAUGUUGUUCAUCACCUAGCAAACCAAUCAAUCAUUUCAGAAUGUAAUAUUAAAUCACAGACUGCCAAACCGUUCCAACAUACAGUAAUCAGUGGGCACAGAAGCCACCUUAGCAUGCAAAGCUCAUCCCCAUCUUUACCUCUGGAUGCCUCUACCAGUAUAAAUCACCCACAAAAAGUGUCCUGUCGACAUGCCCUAGAAGCAACAUAUGACCUUCGAAAUCAUUCAAUGUGACCUAACCAAGGAGCUGAUCCACCUAAGCAUCAACCGUCAAUAAUAUAAUAACUUAAGACCAUCCAGGGAGAACAGUUAGUGCAAAAAGUACGUGAUUACAAGCCAUGAGCCAAUAGCAGUAUAGCACUAAGGUAUUGAAUCACAAAUUCUCACUGCAGUCACAAUAUGCAAAAUGCUUACCUCCAGAAUAUCUAUUUGGCCACAGCAUCCACAGCAAUGUCUCCUUGUCAAAUCCCUGCACUCCGCAUCAUGCAAACAAGCAAAGCAUGCAACUAUGGCAUGGCAACAGAUAAAGUUCAGUGCCAAAUUCAUUUGAAUGCAGUCAUGGGCUAAUGUACAUGAUCCUUGGUCUCCAUUAACAACCCCGAAAAAAAUCAUAAACCAACCAAGAGGCAUUAACUAAAUACCCACUUCAUGCUCCCACCACCAAACCCAAUCCCCCCCCCCCCCCAAAAAAAAACCGAGAGCACUCUCUCAUUAAAAUCCCACCUCAACUUUCCAAAUGAUUGUCUUGAGAAGCAUCCCCUCCAUGGACAUCCCACAGACAACAGUUCCACAUGAAUUUCUUCCACCACAUUGCUCUCCAGAUGACAAAACAACAGAUUAUGCAAUUUAAAAAAAAAUAAAAAUAAAGAAAAAAAGAACAUUUUCACGAAUUGCAUAUGCAUGAAGACAGUUUUAUCAAACCUUCUGAUAAUGACACUGGAUGUCGUGCGGCAUCAAGUAGAUCCAUAAGCGACAGAUGAUAGGGGGAAAAUAUAUUACAAGCAAAAUCGACAUCCUGGAAAACAUACCUUUAACAUAUUUUUUUUAAGAAAUAGAUUUGCAAGCAGAGCAGUCAGUAUUCAGUUGUCAAUUGAACCUCCACAAAAUUUUUUAACAAGCAUGUGCUCAUAAGGGCAAAAAAGAUUUUAUCCCACUAUACACAGAACCCAGACAAGUCAAAGAUUUCAAACAAAUCAAAGAUUUCCACUGUAUACUGACGAUUUCCAAAUCUACCAUGGCGGUCAUGCAUUGCCUGGCAAAGUGCAGAUCUCAAAAACCACCAACAUAUUGCUUUGUGUAUCUUCCAGAUGCACCACUGCUUCCAUAUGCUGAGGAAGCAACAGUCAGUCCGGGACAAUCUCUAGCCCAGUGCCCAGGUUGCUGGCAUUUAAAACAUACAUUAGAACCAAUGCCACCAUCCAUUGCAGCAUUCAAGGGCCUAUUGUCAAAGCCAACCCCAACAGACUGGCCUUGCCUACUAAUGCCCCUUGGGCAGUUCUGAAAGUUGUGACCAGAAGAGCCACAGUUAUUGCAGAAAAUUUGUGUUUCCCUAUUUCCAAUGUUAUGUUUCAUGACACCUCCAUAUUCAUUCACUGGCUGUCCAAAUUGGUUAGUCUGUUCCAUUCUAUAUAGAUGGCCACCACUACUAUUGCCCAAAUUGUUGGUUCCAGAAUAUACACUAGGCUUGUAAUCCAUACUACCAAACCCAGCAUUGGACAUACCAGAACUGGAAGCAAAAUUUCCAUGCGCACCUGAGACAACAUUGGGCUCCUCCACUGAUAGCUUCUCAAUCAAGCCCAGAAGAUACCUGCUCUCUGAUGAGGGGUUCACUUUUUCAGCUUUGAUAACAGUAGAUUUCACACGCUGCUCAUCGCUAAAUGUCUCCUCCUUAACUUUCAACUUGAAUAAAUAUUGAUUAAAGAGGACUGUUCGUAUGAUUUCUGCAAAUUUUACAUCAUCUUGUUCCUCAUACUUCAACAAAUACAACUCCUUGGCAGAUACACCCAUGAUUUCCUCACCACACUCCUGGAAUGCCGUAACCCACGUCAUACCUGUAUGAUCCUGGAUCUGAAACUGGAGUAGAUAUCUGUAAUCACAUUCAGGAAAACUCUGAUCACACCGAUCACAGCGCCAUGUUCCAUCGCCAUUAUUGUUAACCUUCUUAUUGCAUUGUCUGUCCCCCACCAACAAGGGACAAGCUGUGUAGCAGAAAUUAUCAACCUUUAUAAAUGUAACUGUUGCCUUAACAGUAAUCCAGUCAGGUUUCUCAGCUCUUCCUAAACCCUCAUCCUUAAUUUGUGAAACAGUCUUGCGAAUGUCAGUCCUCCCCAUAGUUGAAGUAUCCCUGGAUAUUGAAAGGGAAGCCACAUUCUUUCCUUCGUUGCUGUACCACUCUUUCAAUCUGUGCACCUCAGGAAAAUCAGGGUUUAUGAAUAGCUGGCUGGUGCUAAUCGUUCCCACUGACUUGCCGCUAAAAUCACUAACUCUACCAGCUUUAAUGGCUAAGACAGGAUAUAUACCAGAGUCACACAUGCCCUGCAGCUGCUGCCCUUCUGUGCUGCAAAAGUUUCCCCAUAGAGUUAUUUCAACACUACGACCAGACAUGUCCUUCAACUGAAGAGUUCUUUUUUGUGUCUCAGUACCAUUUUUUCUCAUUACUGUACCUGCAGGACUAAUAGAUGUCACAAUACCAAUUACAUCCACCAUGGAAUUGUUUUCCAUGCCCUCAAUUUCACUUAUUGGUCGAAAAUUAAAUUGCUGCUUUGGGAUGGAAUUGUCCUCCUCAAAACAAGGCUGGAUUGUUGAUGUAGACUCCAAAAAAAUUUCAUAAUCAUUGUUGAGAUGAUUGAAACUCUUCUGUGCAGGCCUCAGGCUUCCUUUAGAUAUCAAGUACACUCUCCCAACCUCAAUCUGGUCAUAGAACUGAUCGGCCACCAAGUUAAAACAAGUCACUCGUAUUUCUCCACCAUCACAAUCAAGAAGAUCAAAAGAGAACACUUUUCCCUCCCCUCUGGGAUUGUUGUAGCGUCUAAGCUCCCCUUUUGCUGUUACCCUAGCCUUGAUAGUCCACCUACCCUGAUAGGGAUUCAAAGCAGCAAUUGGAAUUAUUCGAGCAGGAGCUUCAUUUUUAGCAAUGGGCCCUCUAUUUGUGUACAAUGGAGGGGGCUGUUGAUAUGUAGGCUGAACUGGCGGUCGCCCAUAAGUACCAAGAGAAGGUUGAUAUCCUGCAGUCAUCCCUGGAUUUGAUAACCUCUGGUUUUGAUUACCACUUUCUGGAUGUGAAUUGGCAUAGAUCCCUGAACCCUGUUCAGCUUUUGGUUGUAGGGAAUUCAAGUUACUCAUAUUCCUGCCUGAUAUCGGACCAGUACCAUACGAACUGCUGUAAGAUGAUGUAUUUGUAACAGGAUCUGGUUUGGGACUCACAGAAGCUCCUCCCAUCAUAUUUUGUCCAGCAGGAAGACCACCAGAGCGUGAACCACCAUAAGGUUGAGGAAUUCCAGCAGCCAUACCUGGUUGAUUUAUACUAGUUGACUGAGCAGACAUAGGAGCUCGGUUCUGUGAAGCAGAAGCGCCGCUAUCAAAGGGUGUUGGCACCCCAAUAAUAUCACUCUUGGGGACUAGUACUUCCAAGUUGAUGACAAUAAUUAUCCUAGUUGCAGAAGACAACAAAGAUUAAAGCCAACAAAACACAUACUCCGCCCUUCCAUAUUAUCAAGCAAAACUUAAAAGAUUAUUUUUUUCAGUUGAUAUGAGUAUCAGCAAGCAAAAUUCUACAUAGGAGGAGGAUUUUGUUUUCCAUACUGAAAGCAAGAUCAGAAGCAAAAUGUUGGUGCCAAUAAAACAAUAAAUCAGAUGCCCAUUGAUUGAAACAUAACUGCCAAAACAGUAGAAUAAACAAAGGGCAAUUGACUGUGAUAAGAAAUAAAUAGCAAAACUCUAGUACUUUCAUCUAAUUAUGACGGUACAUCUUAUAUUCGUGAACCAUCCAAAUAUUUCCACCCUUUUUGGGAACGCAGCACCGUCCUCGAGAUAAGUACUGAGAGUCAAUUAAGCCGAAAAGAAAAGGGAAAAAUCAUUAAAGAGACGAGAUUUAGCCUCUUCUUUUCUAUUGUGAGAUUUUACAGUUUCUAAUCGCAUCAGCAGUAAACACAGGCCAGCAGGGUUUUACGAUGCCGAUCUAGUUUCGUACCUUCAAACUUUCUAAUCACUAACUCUCUCAUAACGUAUAUAAAUCUUUGCAGCAUUAUAAAUCGAAUAUUCGUGAAAUCAGCCUAAACCAACCAGGCAGCAAGGAGAAAGAGAAAUGACCUGCGGCCCUGGAUAGUGUUACAGAUGAACUCGUUCAACUGGACGAAGGAGCCCUUCUGCAAGGUGCCGUUCUUGACGAUAGGGUUCAUCUGGGUCGCCAGCAUCGCCUGCUGCGUGUGUACCCCGUCGGACAGCAUCAUCCGGUACCUCUCCGUCGUGCUCUGGGUCGUGUUCACCAGCCUCACGUCCGAGACCUGGAGCACCGGCUUCAUGCCCUCCGCCCCCCCUUCCGAGAUCGCGGCUAUCGCCCCCCUCGUCAGAUCCAACGAAGCCAUCUGCUUUCCUCCCCGCCGUCGUCUUCUUCUUACCGAAAGUACCAGCCAGCAGCUAUAAGACAGACGAAAAACCCUAGAAACAAAGAAAGCGAACGAGCGAUCAAGAUCGAGAUCGAGGGACGACGGAUUUCUCGAAAAAGGAAGCUGGAAAUCUUUCGGGGGGAAAAAAACAUCAGAUAUCACCGAAUCAAGCAAGCAAAAAGGAAAACUGUUCGGAUUUUUGGUGAGAUCUCGACCUUCUGUCUCCUCGGAUUUCGCUUCGUCCUGCCGAGGGCUCGAGUGGAGACGGAGAAAGUAUUUAUGUUAAAACCCUAGGAGCAGGACAAGGAACCGCCACAGGGUUUUUAGAGGGAAAUGCGGAUUGGGAUGGAGCUUUAGAAAUUUUGAGUUCCGCCUCCGAUUUUGGGUGCGGAGCGGGCAGCGGGAAACUCGAAACGCGUCCGGGACGCCGGUAUUUACUGAGCCGAGCCGGAUUUAUGGGCCGGGCCGGCAAUUGGUGAGCCCUGUGUUUACGAUUUUUUUAAUUUUUUAUACAACGGUAAUUCACACCAAAAAUGCAUAAGUAUACCGAAAAAGAUCAAAAAAAAAAAUAACAAAGAGAAAAAGAAACGAACUUGAAACUCUUAUUUAGAAAUUUUUCUAAAUGAUGCGCGGUAUGGAGGUAACUCAGUCAGCAGUAUUGUCCGUCUUCCAAUAGAUAUGAGUUGCUCUUGCUUGUUUGACGUUCAUGAAUCUUUUAAAUUUAUUUCAGUGAUCGCAAGUUAAUGAAAUUGAGAAGCAAUGGCUUUGAUAAGAGAUAAGGAUACUUCUUAUACAAUGUCAUAUUUUAUUGAGAUAAACGCUGCCUUCUACGGAAGUAUCUUGUGCUCUGGUGGAUAUUAUUGGCCCUGACUUUUGAUGCCACCAUGACUCAGCAUUCUUCUUUCAUUAUGUUUAGAUCCUUGAUGAUGGCAUGUACAUAAGCUUUGAUGGGUGGAGAAUAGACUAUUGUUUCUUUCUAAUAUGUUUAGAUGCUUGAUGAUGGCAUGUACAUAAGCUUUGAUGGGUGGAGACUAGACUAUUGUUUCUAGAGUUUGGAUCAUCCUAAAUGAUCCAGACUCAAUUCAUUUAGGUCAGCAAGAUAACAGUUACUUAUCACUAAGUUACUCUUCUUUGAACUAAGUUGCUUUCAGGGGUGGCAUGUCACUAAGAUCCGAGAUUUGAUGAUUACAAACAAACAUGUCACUCCACCGCAUGCUAAAUAAAUUGCCAACUUCUAACUAUAAAAGGUUAUGGUGACUUAUAUUGUCAUUGAAAAUUCUUGUACAUGUUAUUUCAGAACGAGCUACUGUAUACUCUGCAUGAACUCCCAAGAAUGUUUUACAUUUUGUCUAAGGUCAGCUCAGAAUGUGUGAAAUUAAAGACCUCACAGGGCCAAUACAGCUGAAUUUGGUGCUUCAAACUCUCUAGUUGUAGGUUGCUAUAUUCUUUUCAUAGAUAUGUCUAUCAAGGAUGGUAAAUUACGACCCAACUUGCAACAUAUCCAAAUUAAAGAGUUUCAUGUUUGGCAUAAAAUGGCUCAAGCUAGCUUGACCCAUUCAUCGAAUGAGUUAGGUUUAGGCUUAGAGUCUUGAACCAUUUAGGUUAUCUUUAUCCAUUUAAUAGUUGAAUCAGGUCAAAUAAGACCUAUCUAAUCCAUUUUAAUUGUUCGACACUUCUUUAAACUAUUCAAUUUAAUUUGUUCUACUUAGUAAAUAGUUUAUGCAAGUCAAAUUUGGUUGCUUGUUUAACAAAAAUCUUGAGUUUGGUCUUGGAUUUUUGCCAUGCUUAAUAAGUAGGUUAGGAUUGGAUUGACAAAAUUUCAACACGGCCUGUAUACCACCAACUUGUCCAAUUUGCCACCUCCAAAAAAUUAUACUAUAGCCACCACAUACAAAAUGAACACCUAUUAUUACCUCAAAAAAGAGGAGGAUGUUGAAAAUAAAUCAUCAAUUACCACAUUAGUAAAAAGGAAUUAUUUAAUUUUGGUAAUCAUAUUCCAGACACAACAAAUACCUCUUUUUAACAUAAAGAGAUAGAGAUCCACCUAUACUAUAAUCAAGUGGAUUGAGAUACUUGCCAAUCAAAAAUUACAGCCUAGAAUCCAGAGGAGCAUCACCACCAUAAUAGAACCCCUUCCAUUAGAAUAAUCAACAUCUUAUUUUGACAAUAGAUCCAUGAGAACCGAUAUUUGCUCAAAGUUGAGAUAUUUUUGAGGAGCAUUAACACGACAUCUUUUACCUAGGACCAAUUGACUAAUAGACGUAAGUUAUUCUCAGGCCUUGGAUGAAAAGAGAAAAAGAUGAUAAUGGAAGCUCACUAGUAAUACAACAUAACCAGGGAUUUUUUUCACUAGCAAGGAAAAAACAUGUCUGAGUAAACCUAGCUAGACAUGAGAACUUCAACGAGGAAAAGAAAAUAAAUCCAUUCUAAAAUGCGAAUGAUGCAUUUAGCCCAUUUUGAUACUUUUCUAGCAGUUGGUGGAAAGAAUAGGCCAAAAUCAUCCUGAUCGCAUAACAAUCUAAUACUAUCACCAGUGACACAAUGCCAUUUCAAAUUGAAUACUAAAUGCAUAGAGUCGAGUCAUGAUUACAAAAACUUUUUUUCUUCUAAUUACAAUUUACAACAAUCUUGAAAUAAGAAAAAUAUAUUUAAAUAAGAAAGGAAAAAAAUAGAUAAAGGAUGAGAUUAUGUAGAGCUUCCAGCCUGAUGUUGGGAACUCCAACUAAACAUUAAUCUAUUUUUUAAUUUUUGGAAGACGAAAUCACCAUAAGAUAGAUUGGUUUGAAGAAGGGGAAUAGAGGUGGAGACAUCAAUCUUAGAAACUAUAUAGAACUAUAUAGAUAGAAUCGGUGCUAGAAAAAGGAAUCGGUGAUAACAUGGAUAUCUAGAGAAAGGGUCGCGUACCUCUAGAACCGAGAAGAUGGAGAGAUGUGGGUCGGAUUGAUCCGCCAUUGCCUUGGGUUGGGAGAGAAUUAGGGUUUCUUAAUAAAAUCUCGGCGAACUAGAUGGACAUAGAGACCGAAGAGAUAUCGAGAGAGGUAGGCCUAUAGGGGCAGUGGAGACAAAAAGCCCUAACAACCUUCUUUAUUUUUAGGCAAUCAUGUAGAAUUUUUGUUUUUUCGAAGGCGGGAAUUUUUUAAGGUUGUCUUGUGCCUCUUCGGCCCCAGUGACUCAAUUUCACUUGUGCUUGCCAAGGGCAUCUUUGCCACUCAGUGAGGGCCCCAGUGAGGGCCACUUUGCCACUCAAGAUUCUAGAGACUAGUAGGUGUGCCUCAAUCAACCAUUCGAGCCUACUUAGUUUGUCAUAAUAGACUAAAUAGAGUGUAUCUGCUGUCUCCGAAUCCUUAAAAUGGGUGACAAGUGAGUUGAAUUCAGUGAAAAACAGAUCAGGUUAAAAUUUUUUAAUCCUAGCCCAAUCUAUUUAUUAAAUAGACAAUUCGACACAUCCUUAUAACCACUUACUAAACCAGCCGAAUUAGAUUAGAUGGGUUAAAUAGAUUAAGAGUUAAAGGAGUUAAACAGGUUAAAUGGGUUAAGCGGUUGGAUUAGAGAUGACAGAAAUGGGUUAGAUUUUAGAUGAGUUAGGUCUUUAAACAUGUUAAAGAGACUAGAUUAUGAUUUAACCUAAUUAUUAGAUAUGUCAAAAUAGAUUAAACGGAUCAAUGGUCUAAACAUGAAUUCAGUCCAUUCAUAAAUGGGUUUAGGCAGAUUGCCUCAACCGAAUAUAUUUAUGCCAAAAUCUGAACUUAUUAAAAGCAUAUCAAUUGUAGGUUGGGUUGACGGACCGAAUCACAAAUUACCACCUCGACAAUUAAACUUGAUUUAAAAUCUAUUAUUCUGUGUUCUAAAUCUCCAUCCAAAUGUUCAAAAUGAUUCUAACCAAAAAAUGAAAAAUGUCAGUUAUGAUCGAUUGUUUUUCCCAUUUGUAAAAUUUUUUUAUUAUGGUAUUAACCUCCGGGAUGCUAGGCUUUUAAUCCCGUCCCGCCCGAGUUUCAGCGGGUCCUUAGCAUGGUUCAGGCCGGUCGGAUCGGACCAGGCUUGAUCUCCGUGGUCUACCUACUUUUGGGCCGGAUACGGACCACAUAGUAACGCAGGCGUCGGAUGGUGUUAACUUCACGUAAUUUUAGCCCGAGAAGAGGGCCUUUUGUUUUCUCGUUUCUCAAAUAUACGUGGAAUCCACCCCGCGAGGCCCUCCGCAACGAUCCCAGCACAGCACGGCGCCCUCCGCUCCUCCAUUUGCGGUUCGGCACUUGACACGUGACAAGUUGAAGUCCUCAACCACGUGGGCCCAUCAGCAUUGUGUACGUGGUCGGAACUGAUAAGAGAAAACGCUGUCCGCUACAUGGAACAGUAUUAGCGGAUCUGAUGUCCCAGGGUCACGCCCUCGAGAAAAAGACUUUUUCUACUCGGACCAGAUUAUCCCCGCUUCUCUUCUAUUAUUUCUAAUCUCGUGGAUCAUUAGCUGCCGGAUGGCCGAUGAUUGUUCUAUUGGAUUUCCUUUCGGGUCCCCAGAUUGAUCAUCUACCGUCCAAUCACUGGCACACCCAAAAGGCAAUGCAUAGCAGGAGCAUAUCUGUAAUUCGAUACACGGAGGCGUUAUAUCCUGUAUCGCCUUGUCUUCUCCCGUAUAAAAACGCUUCAUCCAUCGCAUCCCUUUCCUCUCCCAGGUAUCAAAUCCUAGGUUGAACCUCGUCUUCCAUCCUCGCAGUCGCAGAAAUGGGCAGAAAGUUCUUCGUCGGCGGCAACUGGAAAUGCGUAAAUUUUCAAUCCUUUUUACUCUCUUAUUUU